rnacentral:lncRNA from 1 species
CCUAUUGUACGCUCAAAACACCUCAUAAAUUAUGCUUUGGAUUAGCCACAAUCAUUUCAAGCACUGGUGGCAUAGUUUACACAGUGAAGGAUCGGGAUCUAUACAUUACAGCAUAUAUUCAAACAUUUUCUUUGAGCGUUAGAUUCUGUAUUGUAAGAACUUAACCAUGUACCGGGUAAAUAUGGAAAGAUACUGAACAACCAGCCCAAUUGGUAACUACAACAACAAACAACAAUAUCACAACUUGCUAAAAAUGUUGCCCUUAAAUUACAUCAGUUGAAAACAGUACAUUGAUUUAGCCAACAACGAUGAAGGAAAUAUACUCGCCAAGUACUUCAGAUUACAGAUAAAAUAGAGGACCAUAAAGAAAAGGAAAAAGGAAGUAUCCAACAAAACUUGGUUUUCCCAGCCUCUACUGAAAAACCAAUUGCUUUUCGAUGAUCAACACGAUCAUGACCAUGAUAAUAGUGACAAGGCAAAGUCUUUAAUCAUUUCAAACCCAAUGCAAACGACAGUUUUGGCCUCGAUUUGUUCUUUCCCAACAAUUUCAUUUGNNNNNNNNNNNNNNNNNNNNNNNNUUUUGCACGCUCUUCCUCUUCUUGUUGUUUCUUCCUUCGCAAAGCCUCUUCUUUCUGUCUUUGGAGCUCUUCCAGUUCUCUAUAACGUUGUUCUUCCUUCAUUUGCUGCUCCAAAGCUUCUCUUCUCUGAGCUUCUUCCACCUUUCGCCUUUUCUCUUCAAGCAUUCUUUCCAACUCUUCUUUCUCUUUUCGAGCUUGUUCCUGCAUGAACAAUAAAAGAGUCCCUUUUCACCGUCAAUACAAAUUAAAUUCAAUGAAGAAUGUGGCGGCCGAGCAGGCCAGUAUAAGUUCAAGAAAAUUAAAACCAUGAUCAUGCCAAAACAAUUAGGUCAAAUCAUGCGGUCACCAGCCUUCCCCAGCCUCCAAACCCCUCGUUGUAGUGCCCUGUAGUGUUCCAAUCAUUUCUUUUAUAAUGGGAUUAUUAGCAGAGUGACCAUUAUCAUUAUAGCAGGCUCAUGAUAGAUGGAACGAAGAACCAUCAGUGCACUACUUUCUUUUAUGACAGGAUGAACAUCCAGACACCAUCUUGGAAGCACAAACAUUGCAGCAGAAAAUAUGACUCAAGAGAAUAUGAAACUUGUUAUCCAGGGCAGUAAACAUGUAACUGCUAAUAUAGCAAAAAAGACCAAGACAUGGAGGAAACAGAUAAUUAAGCAAAAAUAACUUGCCUCCUUUUGUUUUGACUCAAUAAGAGCAGAUUCCUUCUCUUUUUCAAGUUGAGCAGCAACUUCAUUGACAAGCUUCUUUCUACCUUCUUCUAGUCGCCUUCGAAUUUCAAGCUUGAUCUCCUCCGUGUUCAAGCUUUCAUCAACUUUUCUCUUAAUUGCAUCUUCAACUCUUUUUGCAGUUUCUUCUUCUAUUAAUUUCAGUUCUGCUUCCUCUUGACGCCUAAGAGAAAAGGAGCAAAAAUUAGACACGGGAUAAACAUUACUGCCGAGAGCAAAGACUCCUUUUACGUUCCCCAGAUUCAUAAAAUAAAGGAAGAACUAACUUGCAAAGUAUUUCCCAUUUUCCUCCUUAAUGUAUAACUAAAGGAACAACAGACUGACCUCCAUGUUGAAAUAUGCACUAAAUAUACAUGGUAAUGCUUUAUAGCAUACCUCUACCUGAAUUCUGUCCAAACAAAUGAGAAUCAAAACUGGUGAAUAGUAGAUAAACGAGGCACCCAAUUGAUCAUCAAAAUUAACAAGUGGAAUAUAGCAGUAACUUCCUUCAAAUAAGCCUGUGGAGAAGAAUGUCAAAUAACCUGUAGCAGUUCUUAAAGCUAAUCACCAAAAUACUUGAAGCUUUAUGACAAGUAGAAUUGUCAACAGAAAAACGUCUACUCCUCAACAGAUUAUCAAAAUAGCCAAAACGUCAGCUUAAAUAGUCAGAAAUGGUGACAAAAGGAAGUCUAAGACCAGCUUGUUCAAGAUUCAGAUUAGAGCAUAACAGGAAUACAGAAACUUGUUCCAAGCCCACUUGAAAUUGACAAGACGUUUGAAGCAAAUGGCUACAAACCAUCAUCCAUUUACUCUAAAGAAUGUGCAAGAUUAAUGUUGUCAACUGUUCCUUAUUACCAAGUAUAUUCAUGAUCAUGCCUAUCCUAUUAACUUUUGUGGGGUUGGUUAUGAAUAUGAUGUUUUAGCAAAUGCAUGUAACAUUUGUCCUUGCAGUUACCACAUCUGUUGGAUGUAAUGAAGGACAGCUAAGACUAUUGUUAGGCAGCACAGCGGAAUAACCAAACAAAGAUCAAGAUGCAAAGGUUGCCUCUCUUUUUCUUUAUCGGUCUCAAAUCAUUUCAAAAACAGCUGAACCAAUUAAAAGCCAUAACUUAUUACAUGCAGCAAUCUUGCUGUAUGUUGUGCAGCUUGGUCAUCCAGCUGCAUUCUUUGCAUUAUACUGUCUUAUAACAAGUGUUAUAGCAACUGGCAAUCCACUUUCAACAUAGACAGAUUCAACUCCAUCAACCCUAUAGCCAUUUACCUAUGAUGAGAAAUAAAAAGGAAAGAAGAGCGUAAUGGAACCCAGAUCAUUAGGCAUAGCUAAAGAGCUCAGGCAAACAGUACUUUUAUAUCUUCAUUUUUUUAGGGGUUUUUAGGGGUAUUGGUUCACGAAAUUCUUUUACUCUGGGAGGAACACUACUGCCUUUAUGUUGAAUUACAAGAUAGGGAGGUUAAAUAAAAAUGUACCGCAUACAAUCUUUACAAUAACAGCAGAUACAUACAUUACACAACAUUUCCACUUGACCAUAUUCUAAAAUAUCUACCACUCGAUACUCGAAGAGCAGGUUUAUUUUAGAGCUGAGCUUUCAUGAACAGGAAAAAUCCUCUCAUUUUCAGACAGUGGAGUAAAGCACCACAAUUUCAACCAUUCGAUUCUAAAUCUACAUCACCAUCAGGCUCAUAACAAAAAUAUUUCAAUUAAGGAACUGAAAUUCUGAUCUGUAAUCUCCAAAGGUUAGCCCAUUAGAACUAAUCGAAAAAAUCCUCCAAUGACCUCAAUGUAAACAUUUCAAAAUAAAAAAAAAUGAAAAGUUUUACAACUACAGCGGUACCUUUUCUUCUCCUCUUCAUCAAGUCUAUUUUUUUCACUGCUAUCCUUUUGCUCUUUCGAUCCGAUACUUGAACCAGGUGAUUUACCAAUAGGAGACAAUGACUUACUCCCACUUCUUUGUCUCCUAUGGUUCCUCGGAGAGCGACUCUUAUGACGUCUGGUGGCUGGAGAACGACUUUUGCGGCGCCUUGGGGACGAUGAACGACUUCGUCUUCUGUAUAACAAUGUUUAACAUUUAAACAACAUAUAUUGGCACCAGAUAACAUGAAAAAACCCUGACAUACUAACCAGUCCUCCGAAUCAAUUAGAUACUAAAGCAUGUACAGUUACCUCAUGAAUUGCAAAGAAUAAACUCGAGCUCCGUCUUUUAUCAUAGGAACAGCUAAUAUCACAAUCGAGCAACCAAUGGACACUCACCAGCACCCAUGACCUGCUUGCUUCCCAAGAAGGGAAGCAAUUACUUCUUUUAUUUCCUCAAUGAAGAACAUAGUUUGCGCCAGGUAUUACAUUUAGGUUUCUAUUUAUUAACUCUACUCAUUAGGAUGAUGCAUAUCUUCAGAAUUGCAGUCUGACCGAGGACUAAAAUUUGCAGCUGACCAGCACAAACACCAGCUUACAAUACAACACAUUACAGCAAGAAUCACAAGGAAUUUAACUAUGGUCAUCACAAGUAUUGAAAACUCUUAGUAGAAGCAACAAGCCAAUUUUGACAAGUACAUAAAUUGAUUUUGUUCAAAUCCACCAACUCAUAAAACAGAGAACUAGUGGAUUUUGAUGAGCAAAUACCAAUCUGAACAAAAUGAAGUCAAUAGUGGCAGAAGAAGCACGAAAACAUCUGCACCCCCUAUGUCCUCGGGGGAGAAAUAUCCAAUGAAAGAAACUGAACAAAUGAAAUGAAAAUUGAGGCAUUUUGUCAAAAGAAGGGUUAAAGUUCUGAAACUUAGUAUCACCCGACAGUAGGCGGACAACUUAGUGCUAUACGAAUUCUCCAAUCACUAGAAGUUCCUCUUAAAGUCUUUAAAAUACAAGCAAAAACAAUCAAUCAUCAAUCCCGCCACAUCUUAUACCAACAUUGUCACUACGAAAUCCUAAAAUCCUUUUUGAGCAAGGCAGCAAGUCCAUCCAAUAAAUGGCAGAUAAAAACCAACAGUUUUCAAGAAUCAAACACGUAGACAUUGCCUGAACAAACUGUAACUGAAUCAGCAAACACAUGUGAGCUUUAUUAGAAUAAAACAACAAAUCCUUGUACAUAAAACAUACAAAUCAGAGACAUCAACACAAGGGUCAAAUCCAUAAAUCAAUUUAAGCAAAUGGGUAUCACCUGCUAUACGAAUAAGGAGAUCUGCUUCUAUCUCUCCUGCUUCUGCGGCUAUGUCUGCGCACCACAGGCGAUGAGGGUGACCGCGAAUAUCUCCUCCUAUAUGCUGGCGACUUCGAUCUAGACCUUGAAAUAUCCCUAUCCCUACCUCUACCCAUCUCUUCCUCAACUACUUAAAUAACAAAACCCCACAAAUUCACCUGCAAUAAGUAUAGUCAGAACCCAUAUGUGUAACCUCAGUCCAACAAAAAUACAAAGAACAAGCUUCACAGACCACACCCCACAACAAUUCCAUAAACAAUUAUAACUUUAGACCAAACCACAUCAACAAUAAUAACAAUAACAAGAAUCAAAACCCACCUACCCAAAACAAGUUGAAAAAAUAAAAGAACCAAUAAAAUAAUAAUAAUCGAUUGAAGAAGACAUAUUGGGGGUGAAGGGAAAGGUGAAAAUUACCAGUUACAACAAAGAAAAGAUGGAUCUUUCCAUGGGCAUAACGAUUGAAAAACGUGUAAAUAAACCCUACAAAAAUGGAAGGUACUAAAGAAAUAGACGGAUAUUUUAGUGGGUCUAUUAUUUUCCUUUGUUUUUUUUUUUGAGGGUCGAAUGAUUUUGAAGGUAUACAAAAAUGGGUGUUUGUUGAGAGAGAUAUGAUGAGAAUGGAGUCUCUUGCAAAGGAAGAUUGAAAAGAAAUUGAAAUACUUAACAAUUAGUAUGAAUUAUAAUGGAAAAUAAACCCCUAAUUCCGAGGAAAGAUUGUUUCAAUCCAAUCCAAAUUCUAUCUUCUUUUUUUUUUAUUCUUUGAUCGUCCUAUUUUAUUUUCUUAAAAUAUAAUCACUUUUUAUUAAAUAUUUAUCUUAUUUAUGUUUCAGGUUCACAGAAAUUGAGUCUUCAAGAACAAUUACUGUUAAAGGUUAAGAUGAAAAAUAAAGUUAAUUCUAUAUAAAUUUAAAAAAAGAAAAUCAUAAAAAUGAAAAAAGGGUAGUGUGUACGUUAACUUAACUAGUACUACUUACUAUCAAAAUGUCUUUGGGUGGAUGUUGAAUGGACAACAAAGAUGAACUAAGAUGAAGAAGCAUAUUUCCUUUUAAAUGUACCUUGUCACUAUGUAACAAAAUGCUUCAUCUUAAGUUUUUUCACUGUAUUAGUUAAUAGUUUAGAUGGGUUUUGCUAGUUUGAUUUUUAUCUUUGGUUGAUAGAAGAAGAUUAUAUCUACGUUGACAUUAGAUGCUACAUUAAUCGAUUUGGGUCAAAUCUUGAACUUGCAGUUGAAAAAUAUACCUCCAGAAAAAUGUUAAAAGGUGAUCUCUUCUCUACUCAGUUUUGAUGAGCAAUUUUUUUAAGGUUGUAUCCAAUCAAAUAAUUGAGCACACGCAAAUUGACUCAAACACUACACACGUAUUGGAGUCCGUCCCAAACCAUUUGGCACCCACGCCGUACGCAAAGCUCUCAAGGCUGGCAUAGAUUUCUUUCUUACACCAGCCAAACAAAGCUACUAUACAACAACAUACCAGUGUAAUACCACAAGUGUGUUCUGGUUGGUAAGAGAGUGGUGUGUACGCAACCUUACCCCGCCUACCUUGUCAAGGUAGAGGCAAAGCCUACUAUAUCAGUUUGAAAAAAAUUUGUUGAAGAUUAAUUUAACAUGGUAGCAAAGAUGUUUACAAAUACAAAACAUCCAGAGCAAAUUCUUUGAACAGGCAAUCUUGGGAAAACAAUAAAAUUAUACACUGGCAAAGAUAAUCACUCUCUGUGACAUCCAAAAGUUUCAAUUGUACAUGGCCCAACAUCCAUGCCAGUUUACAGAAAUGCAUCCUUCUCAAGUAGCUUAAGGACGUCCUGCUGGUUGUUGAGUUUGGCAACAUCAAUUGGCGUCUUUCCGUCCAAGUUUUGAAGAGUUCUACACGAAUAAAGAAAAGCUUUCACUUCGACUUGCAUGUGCUAAGCAUAUAAUGUUUCAUUAAAACUAGUUUAUCGGAUGAGAAACUAAAGCAUAACGAGACAUGUGGGGCGAAAACAACAUAAUGGUAGAAAAGCAAAACAUACACGGCAGCUCCAUUCUCUAGCAGCAGUGCUACACAUUCCUUCCUACCAUAUCCAGCAGCAUAGUGAAGAGCAGUAUUCUUGUUCUUGUCCAAUGCAUCAACCUUUGCCCCAGCUUCAACAAGGAUCUGAGCACACUUCACCUGAAAUAAAUAAAAUAAAGACCACUUUUAACUCUGAAAAAAUUUGAUGAAACAUUGGCUUACUCCAAUGGUAAUAUACUCUCAAAUAACAUGUAAUCAACCUUUUACCUCCUACCUCGACAAUGUGGAUACUGAAAAAAAAGAACAUAUUCUUUUUUCUGAUUGAUGAGUGCUGGUAAAAUGAUGCAGUUAUUGUGCCCCUCAACCCAACCCGGAAAAGUAUAAUGCUUUUUUCAGUACCAAAAGUAAACCAGAAAAAGUAUACAAUGCUUUCCUCAUUCUCAAUCUGGAGCAAUCACUUACCAAAACAGUUUUCUAAGAAAAAAACAAGAUAGCAUAACUCUCUAACGCUAUUAUUGUUAUUCCAUCUUUUUUUUUUUGGUUUUUAUUACAUCUUUUUAUAUUGUUUUUUUUUUUAAUUCUGAACCGGGGGUCUAUCAGAAACAGCCUUCUCUACUUCUUCUGACGUAGUGAUAUGGGCUGCGUAACACUCUACCCUCCCUACACCUCACUUUGUGGGAUUACAGUGGGUAUGUUUCUAACUUCUAGCGUAACUCUAUUCCAAACCUAUGCCAUCAAGUGUGGCUACACGCCAGUACAGCAAAACUUCUAAAACUGGCAAAACUGCUUCUGUUCAGACUUAUAUUGCUAAAACUAAAACCAGACGGAAAAGAACCUAUUUACCAUCAAAGUGAAAAGGUAAGUUCGAGGAUCGAAUUUCAUCAACGGAAAUGGAAGCUUUCAGAUUAAUAAAAAUGGUCAGAACUGAAUGAAAAAAGUGAAUAUAAAAGAGUUCCAAAGAACACAAAUUCUAAAGGAGAAGUAAUUGAUGCAUCAGAAAGAAUUAAUUCCCCUGAAAGGAAGCUUCGAAACUUUGAUUGAUCCAUAAGAAAGACAACUAGGAUCACCUAGAAAGCUAAAAAUAUAUAAGCGGGCAAACUGAAACAUAUUUGUGUACAUGAAGAUACUGAAGGUCCUAAAUGAAACUUCUUACCUCGCCAUAUCCACAAGCAAAAUGCAAUGCUGUCCUUCCUUCUGAAUCUUCUUCAUCUUUGUCAGCACCAGCAGCUAGUGCAGCCUUCAAGCCCUAAAAUCCAAAUUAAAGCAAUUAUGUAUUUAGAUGGGCAUUAAUGAAGUCUCUGAUGUGAUCAUAGGUAUAAUUCAAAUUUAAGGAAGAAGAUAUUGACACAAAAUUGCUUGCUGAUAGAAGAAAAAAUGAACAGGAUCUUUCAUAAUAAAAGCACAUAGAAAAAUAAGAGAAAAGAAAGUGCUAUUCACCAAACUGUACUAAUAAUGUUCACAUCAAAGGGAUCAGUGUAUUUAAGGAACUCAUCUUGCACAAGCGGUGUUGACAGCAGGGUAAUUUCAGCCAAGGGGAAGGAUUUUGAAUAAGUAAACGUUUCUGAACAAAAUUGCAAAAUAAAACUACCACAGCCCUACGUUUAAGCCCCCAACAACAAAAGGAAGAUGAAUUUAAAAAUCACCUCUGCAUCACCAACACUAGCACACUGAUGAACAAUAGAUUCAUCUUCAUUUGCCUCAUCUGUUUCAUCUGUCCCAGGUACCUCAGAUGAGGUAGCACCCUCUCCUGCAGCAGCAAAACCCAUUGCUUCACCAAUCUUCUUCAGAACAUCUUGAUCGUUCCAAUACCUGAAAAGGGGAAGGAAAAGAUCAACCAUUACAGUUGUAUUACACCUAACAGAGAAGGCAAAAAUACCCCCAGAAAAAAGCUGCAGAUAGUAAAGAUCAACGACCAAAGAGCUGAACGUAAAAUUCAGUAAAGCUACAGUUAUUUACUUGUGAUUCACUCGUCAAAAGGUAGAGAAUUACAGUGAAAUUGCAAAACAACUGAUGAUGCUAAAACAACUGAUGGAACAAGAAUAAGCUGCUGUUCUCGGUCUACUUUUCCCUAAAACUCUUUUUUUUUUUACCUUUUCUCACAAGAACAACCAAAAAGAACCCCCUGCAAACUUCUUCCUGUCUGCUGCUGCUGCAGAUAGAUCAAUCAAAGGAAAUUCCUUUAUAUAUUCUCUUAAUUUCUAAAUAUCAGGAAGCACUGUCGUUCAUAUCAACUAGAUGUCUCACACACAACCCACACAGAUACACCUCAAGCCAGAAUCUUAGCAAAUUGAACUAUUACAUGUUUAUUUUAUAACCAUUGCAGACGAAAGCUUUCCUGCAAAAUAAGUAUUCAUGGCAAUCCGUUCAUUUUAGAAGUUAAAAUGCGAUAAGGAAAAAGUUUGAAUACAUUCUGCGAAGGUUGGAUUGUUGCAUAGAUUCAUUUAAAUUAGCUAGUGAAGUCCCAUGCUUAAUAAAGUAUGGGAUAUCACUAAAGUUCUAAUUGAACAGAAGUGAGAGAGAGAGCAUAGUUAACAAUCAGAACAAAUAGGAGAUAUGACCUCAUCAUUGCAGCUGGUCCUCCGCUCUCUAUCUCUUCCAAGAUUGGUUUCAGUGAUGGGUCUUCUUUAAUACGUGCCAUCCGUUCUUCAAGUUGCUCCUUCUGAGCAGGGUUUGACAAACUCUCAAGCAUGCCAGACAUAGAUGGAUCCUGAAAUAAAAAAAAAGUAAAGAGAUCAUUUACCAAUCACUCAAAUAAGAAUCAUUUUUCAUUAAGAAAUCCAGAGUCUCAUACAACAGGAAGCAAAAACGCACCUGCAUCAAUGCAUUACCAAGCCGCUCAGCCAUGGUCAUAAACUGAGGAUUUUGCAUAACCUGUUGCAUUGUAGAGUAGUAUUGUUGGCUAUCAAAGUUGGGGACACUUUCUUCCACUGCUGCACCUUGAAAGGUCUUCUGAAGCUGCUCUGCCAUCUGAUUAAAUGCAGGGUCUUUUGCUAUCUGCUCAGCUAGUUCUUUGAUACUUGGGUCCUAUAAAAAUAAUUCGAAGUUUAUCAAUCAACAAAAAACAAAACGACAAGAAAAGCAGCAAAACUAAAAGUAUUAUUGGUUGCAAGUUGAUGGUAAAUUGACUCUUUUCUAUUUUCAUUACUAAAUUAUAACUUUAAGAGGUUAUCACCAAGUGCUGGAGCUUUGUUUUUGCAUCUAAGCAGUUAUAAGUCACUCAUACUUAUAAAUCUCCAACACCAUGUAUUCAACCAAAAUGAGAUUACACAUGUAAUUAUUUUUACUAUUUAAAAUAUUUGAAACGCAACAAAACUUUUACUCGGAAUAGAAAUGUGUAUGUACAUUAAGUAGUCCAGACAUGGCUGAGAAAUCAAAGGGAUUUUGGACCCCAGCUCCAGCUGCAGCAGUAGAGGCGGUUCUCCCUUCUCCUGAUGGUGCUUCUGUGGAGGAAGACUCAGCAGAUUUUUUAUUCUCAGCUGCCACAGGCUUCUCAUCUGAAAAGAAAUUGAACUUUCUUCAAACUGGUGUUACACAUAGCAAAUUCUUUUUCUAACAAAAAGAACUCAAUAUCAAGAGAACUUUCUAGGGCACGUGAUGCUAUAAAGUUUCAUCUUUGAUAGGAGGUACAACAAGCUGUAUAGCUGAGAAUACCAGUAAUGUGAUAAUUCCAAUUCAUGCGAAAAUAUAAAAUACACAAAAUCUAUACAAAAUGAUGUGCCAAAAAAAUGAUAGACAGCAGGCAAAAGAUGAUAUCAAAUUUUAGCAAGAACCAACAUCUACACAACCACAACUAUUGUGCCUGGCAUCCUGAUCCUGACCAACAGAUAGAUGAAAGCGCACACAUGCAUAUACCAGUUUGGACUGAGGGAUUAUUCAUUACACGCAUGAAUAAUAUCUGAUUAACUAAUUAGAAAGAACAUCAAAGCACCAAUAAAGAGAGUAGUAUUAUUGGAGAUUGAGACAUGCUUUCCAACCAAUUGUGUAGGAAUAUCAGCUCAGUUUGUCGAGGUGCCUAUUAAUCAAUCAUUUUUUAAAUGACCGUGGUGUCCAGACUAUCUUUUACGCACCUCGACUAAUUCCAAGGGAUACCUGUCACAUCCCACCAGCAACAGGUGACAAGGCUAGGACAUAUGGAAAGAAAUCACCUAGUGGUUUUGGUCUCUGGGAUUUGAACCUGAGACCUCAUGGAACCCACUUCAUUGACCACUAGCCACACUCUUGGGUGCCUUUCUAGUCAAUCAUAGGUAGCACCGUUUUUGCUUGAUUCUACAGCAUCCAAAUAGACCUAACUUUUCACAAGAUUGCUUCUUCAUUCGGCAAUUCUAAUCACAGUGCUUUUAUAAGAUCACUACAAGCAACAUUUCCAACACAAGUCCUUGUCCUCCCAGUGAAAUUCCACAAGUCAAUCCGAUUAAAUAACUAAAAUAGCACAUGUCAAUGUAAUCAUCCCACUUCCAGCCACAUACUUCAUCCCAUUUAAACAAUUGGAACCUCAUUAAUUAAGUUCAUACAUGUAUUGUGUAUCCACAUACAAAUAUCCAAAAUAAACAUUCAAUAUUACAUCAAUCAACCAGAAAAGUCACAAAAUUAUACCUUUUGAUGCAGUAGGCAAAGCCUUCUCUCCCUGAAAAAUAAACAGAUAAAUUACACCAACAUAAACCAAAAGCGAACAAAAAAACAAAAACCCCAGAAAGCUAAAACACAAAAAUAUCACAAGGAACCAAAAAAUCAAUAAUUAAUAAUACAAAAUCAAGAUUUGAAAAUCUCAAAACCCCAAAUCUAAAAAUCCAAUCUUUAAUCAACAGAACAAUUUAAUAACACAAAACAAGAUUAGAUUUGAAUGAAAACAUAAUCAAGAAAGUAGGGAUGCACCUCAGACAUGGCUACAGAAGAAGUUAAAAAAAAAAAAGUGGGAGUUUAUCUUGGGGUUUGGGAGAUUUGGGGGUACAGGAAAUCAAAGGCAAAAGGGUUUUUUGUGAUAAUGAUAAAUAGGACAGAUGUACUUCGUCUUCUUGUUCAAAAUAAUCAACAAAACCUUUUUCCUUUUUCUAUUUUAUUUUAUUUUACUUUUUUUUGGUUAUCCUAUGAUUUAUAAAUCAGUGGGCCAGAUUAAUCUUGAAAUGAAUGGCACCGAUAUGCUUUCCUCAGAUUCUUCGGUUCCUUUGGGCUUUUGGAGAAUCCGUAACAAUUUUGUGCUACCAAAUUAAAGAGCAUCAAACUAUAUCAUAUAUUUUUAAAAAUAUUAAAUUAUACUUUAACUUACAAAAAUUAUGAAUUAUGCAUAAAUAUUUUUAAUGAAAGGCAGUUGACGACGUUAAAUUUUUUAAAAAGUGCAUAAUUCAUAAUUUUUGUAAGUUAUUCAUUUUUAUUUUAAUAUAACUCACAAAAAUUGUAAGUAUGCAUUCUUAUUUUAAUAUAACUCAUAAUUUUUAUGAAUUAUGCAUUUUAUCAACUCACAAAAAUUGUGAGUUAUGUGUUAAAGAAUAAAGCAUUUUCCUUUUUCAAUCUUCACUUUAGCGAUUGAGAUUCAAAAUUUCAAAGAACCUUACCCAAUUUCAACUGGUCCCCCCUCCUUGUUCAUUGAUUGUGCUUCGUAUAGUUUCCAAGUAUGUGAAUUUUAUUUUAAAACAUAUAAUAAAUCGUAGUGUACCCAAAUUCAUAGUCAAAAUUAAGUGUUUUGACUCUCGUACUUUGAACUAUUUUACAUAAAUUAAGAUAAAAGAAAGUAGAUUUUGAACUCAACAACAACAAUAACAUAUAUAUCAAGUGUAGUUACACGAGUGAGCUUCAGGAAGAAUAGAAUAUAUGUAAAUUUUAUCCCAUUCGUAAAGAUUGUGAACCCAACAAGGUAAAUUAGUUGUGAUAGGAUCCUGAACUUGAAUCUAUGUACAACAUCCAAAUUUUAAAUUUGCUUAUGUUUAAAUUGAUGUGAAGUUAUAGUUAUUGUUUGGGAUAUAAAUUAAUUAAUUAAUUCAUGUCCAAGUUUUUCUAAUAUAAAAUUAGGGCCAAAAAGAAAAUAAGAAAUUUAUCUUUAAAUCAGUUGUCGCGAGUUUGAAUUCUAUUGAAUAUAAGAUUGUCUUUGUUAGUGAGCUUUAAUCCCCAUUAUAAGACUUUAUGAAACAAAUUCAAAUUUAAUCAGGUCAACAAUAUAUUCAGUGUAAUUUCAUAAAGUCGGAUUUUAACAGAAUAGAAUGUACUCAGAUCUUAUCUCUAUUUCAAAUAUGAUGUAGAUAGGUUGUUUCUGAAUUACUUCCAACUCAGGAUAAUAACAUGCUAGAAAAUUUAAACAAUGCCUAAUACGAAUAUCGAAUAUCCAAAAGAAUACAUAAAUCUUAACUAUACAAAAUUAAUUCAUGUCCAGGCACAAUCGAUGGACACAAUCGAUGGACAAGGAGGAGGGGGGACCAGUUGAAAUCGGGUAGGGGUCUUUAAAAUUUUGAAUCUCAAUCGCUAAAGUGAAGAUUGGGAAAGGGAAAAUCUUUAUUCUUUAACACAUAACUCACAAAAAUUGUGAGUUAUGUUAAAAUAAAAAUGCAUAACUCGCAAUUUUUGUGAUUUAUGUUAAAAUAAAUUUUUGUGAUUUAUGUUAAAAUAAAAUGAAUAACUCACAAAUUUUGUGAGUUAUGUUAAAAUAAGAAUGAAUAACUCACAAAAAUUGUGAGUUAUGCAUUUUUUUUAAAAUUUAACGUCGUCAAUUGUCUUCCAUUAAAAAUAUUUGUGCAUAACUCACAAUUUUUAUGAGUUAAGCAUAGUUUGGUAUUUUUUUAAAUAUAUGAUAUAGUUUGGUGCGUUUUUUUAGUUUGGUGGCAUAGAAUAGUUCCGAAUUCACUUUUGGAUAUUAGGCCCUUCUUUGUCAAAUGUCUAAAGGUAAAAGAGGGUGAAAAUUGGGCGUGUUGGUCACUUUUUUUGGAUAUAUUAUUCGAAGUUAAUAAAAGAAUUAACUUAAACAGCCGUUCGUUCGAUUCUUUAAAUCACGAAUAGCUUGGGUAUAAAUUCGUGUAUAAUCAGUAUAUAAUUUGUUUAUGUCAUUUAAGGAAAGUAGAUAAUAAAUAUAAUUGGCUAUUUGUGUAAAGAUUUGAAAUUUAAAGUUUAUGAGUUUAUACAGUGACCUCAAGUAUCUGAUGACAUUUCCAUACAAGAACGGACCGAAUAAAUCGUAAACUAUUUAAUUCACGUGAAUUUGUAAUCAAUACUAUCGUUCCGCCUAUAUAUAGAACGACGUGUAUAUAUAUGCACUAAUUGUUUAUUGUAAGUCUAACUUUCAAACAGCCUUUGUAAAUUUCACCCCAAUACAACCACGCUUUUAUAAGUAUAUAUAUAUUUAUUAUGAGAAGUCACUCAUUACUUUCCAAGCCCCAUAAAAGUAAAACAAUACAAUACUCCACUGAUUAACUUAUAACAUAACCAACCACAUUCUCAAGUCACAACAUACAUAUGCUUAAUGUGAUCUUUUUAUCUGCCAAGCUUCUCUAUCUUCAUGGUUUCUUGGAAUUGAUCUUGGCAUAGGUCUUGAAGUGAAAGUUGAGAAAAAGUGCUAAAAGUGAGACAUUAAAACUGAAAGUGAAGAACCAAACACCAAUGCCAGAGCACCCAAACUCACUAGUCAAGUGAUAAUACAUCACUGACCCCAAACACACAAAGCAAAACAUGAACUGUCCAAUUUGUACAUCAGUCACCAAUUUCUUCCACCUUGGCCUUUUUCCAAUAGAACACAGGAAAUAAUAAGCAUACAUUAGUACGUGAACCGAAGCAUUAGUCAUCACCCCAGCAUGCAGCAUGGACAGGCCAGUUGAAACACCAACAUAACAAAAGAGUGGCACCAGUGCAUGGUGGUACACGUGGAGGAACGAGAGUCGUCGAGAUCUCGAGCUACUUAGUAGGAUCAAAAGGGUGUCCAAAAAUUCAAGAAUCUUGGAAAGAUAAAACACGUAGCCCCAAAAAACUAUGGGUCCUCGUGUAAGGACCAUAUUUUCAUAAUUUAACCUGUUGUAACAGAUGAGCCAUGACCAGUCAUGGACGUAGGCGGCCAUCUCGUGGAGGACCGAGAGGCCGCAGCCCACGGCCAUGAUAAGCGAAAGGAUACAUAGGAUGAGGCUGUGGGUGGCAGUGAUACGACGGAGGGUGGCGGCGGAGACGGUGGGGAGGAGUGUUGGGAAACGGAGAGAUAGUACAGUGAAAAACAAGUACACAGACACUGAUACGAUGGGAAAUAACAAGGCGGCACCAAAAGUUUGUCCAUGCUUAAACUCGAAUUGACUGAUAAUUGGGUGGCCAACUAGCCAAUAGUGGACUAUGGAGUAAACAUCCUCCAUUAUUUUUUAAUUUAUUAUGAGAUGGAGAGAUCGAUGUUGUAGUCAUUAUGGACAAGCUAAGGAAACUAUAUAUAUAUAUAUAAGGGUGUGUUGGAUCAAGGAGAACCCUCAGGCGUUCAUAGCAAACAACAUUAAUAUAGGAAAGAGACUUACUACCACUUUAUGUUUUGCUUAAAUGUGUUAUUCCAAUUAUGUUAGUACAUUUAACACAGAGAGCAGUUGGAGCCAAACCUUUUUGCUGUUGCUGUUGCUCCUUUAAAGUUGCCUAAUUAUGUACAUUGUACCAUUACAGACUCCGAUGUGAUUUGUUUAAGUUCAUUAAUUUGAGCAGUAGGUGUUUACUGCACUUAUCCACUAAUUACUGUAUGUAAUGUAAUUUAAAUCUAACUCUAGUUGCAUUGGAUGGUACGGUACGUGUGGCAGAAGCGAAGGUGUUUUUUCGGUUUAAUAAAACAAAGCACCUAGCUAGAGGGCUAGCUCCCAAAAAUUAGGUAAAGCUACAGCAAUUAAUUAAUCUAAAAAUUAUACAAAUACACUUUUCAAUAUUACAAAACUUAAUUAAUUGGUUCAUUUGUCAUACCGCCAACAUAAAUGUGAAGGAGAAGAAACAACAGAAGUUAGGACGAGGAUAAAUAUAUGGUAAAAAGGGUGAACUAUGCUGUUUGAUAAAAUUAAAAAGGAUUUAAAUGUACUUUUUCCAUCAUAUUUUCAUCAGUUCAAAUAUAAUUCAUUCAAUCAUUAUACUUUUCAAUUAUAGUGGAUGGAAUGGGUUAUAUAUGGAGUUGGAUUCUUAAAAAAAUAUGGUAAGGUACUUGAAAUUAUAUAUGGGAUAAAUCAUUCAAUUCUGUAACCUUUAAUCAAAAUUAAGGAUAGAUUUAUGUCAAAAUAUAAUUUAUUCUUAACACAAUCAUUGUCCACCGAACCCAACCUUCAUCUACAUAUGUAACGAACCACUAGGCCAUCAUCAUAGUCCUAAAGCUAUACAAGUCCCCGACGACGUGACCACUUCAAGUUUCCCUCAUCGAGCUAGAGCGAGUGUGCCCGAAUUCUUUGCUGACACGCUAGUUUCGCCCCAUACAUCCAUACAAGCAGUGGCGGGCGGAGACAGAAUUUUCACUGAGGGGUUCAGAAGUAAAUGUAAGGACUAGACGAAGGGAGUUCAACAUCUACUCUAUCUACAUAAAAAUAUUUUUAAUCAUAUAAAAAUAGUAUAAUAUUUCGAACCGAACCCCUAAAUUGUAUGUAGAUCCGCCACUGCAUCCAAGCUGUGAUGAGCUACUUAUUAUUUUGAUUGCUUUUUAUUUUUUUCACAUGUUUUACACUUAGAAAUGAUAAUUGACGACGGACACAAUUAUUGUUUUUUAUGUUUUUCACGUUUUUUACAACUUAGAAAAGAGAAUUGAGGACAGACACAAUUAUGUUUUUUAUGUUUUUCACAUUAUCGUAUCAGAUUUAAUGCAUAUUGUAAUAUUGAAUGAAACGAACACAGCUAAUGUAUUAUCAUACAAGAUCCAUGAAAAUUGUACUGUUCUAUUAUUUUUUAGAGAAACAAACACAACUCUACCGUGUUGUUCUACUACUAGAAAAUUCCAAAAUCUUUCCGCCAAGAAAAUUGCUAGCCAAAUCUGAAAAAAACAUUAUAUUUUUCUUUCAGGAAAAAUAAGAGUAAUUAUGAUAUUACUUUAACUUUUCUUACAAGAAAAAUAAAGCUCAAAUUUGGUAAGAAAAUUACGACAAAAAUCCUAACAAAUCUCUCCUUUUUGACUUGAUUUUCUUGACAUAAUUUGAUCUACCUUCUUCGCGUGCAUGAUCUUUGUUCUUUACAUAAUCUUCAUCAUUGAUGCUUGUCAUGGCUAAAAAAUAAUAUUUUAUUUUUAUUUUUAAAGAUGUAGCAACGGGAUUGUUAAAAUAUGCUUAAAACUUCUUCUCCACAUAUAGCUAAACAAAAUCGUCAUUAUCAUCAAAUUGGUUGCAGCUUGAUUUGAAACCUCUUUGAACCUGUCUUUAAUCUCGUUUUACCAAAUCAUUGAAUCUUUGAACCUUAAGCUCUGAUACCACUUGUUGGGCUUGAAAUCGAGAGAGUGUAUUGCGGAAGCUUAAAGUUUGCAAAUCAAGACGGUGAUAAUUCAAAUGACAAACAAAAACAUACUAAAAAGGCAUAUUAUUAAUAUGAUUCGGUCAAACAACCUACAUAUCAAAAUUAAUAUAAAAAACAAUAAAAACAGAGAAAAAAUUCCCCCAUAAACAAGACUCUUAAACGACUAUAUUGUGGAUGUUAUUGUGUUCUUAUAUGAGAAGAGUCUUCUAUUAAUAGAAUUUCAAAACUUUUCCUUUAAGAAAGAGGUUAGCAAAAUAUGAAGAAAAAAAAAUCAUAUUUUUCUUUCAGUAAAAGUAAAAGUAAUUAUGGUAUUACUUUGACUAUCCUUACAAGAAAAAUAAAACUCAAAUUUGAUAAGAAAAUCAGAACAAAAACCCUAACAUUUCAUAUGAUUAAAGUUGACUCUGUCAUCUCUCUGUUUAUCAACAGUAUGAAUUUUCUUCCUUUUGUUCUUUGUUUGGAUAACUGGUAACACAUUCACUGCUCCCAAUGACAGUUUAGUGGAAUUUUAUUAUUCCUACUUCUUAGUUUAAAUGAAGCGCUUUGAUUAAACAUGAAAUUUAAAAAAUAUAAGAGGCCUUUAUUAUAUACUUACUUAUAUUUUAGUAUUUUCUUAUAAUAGCAUUCUAUCUAAAAUUAGAGUAAUGACAUUUAUUAAAGUGAUACUCUCUUUAUACAUUUACCCCCUUGGUAACAAUCUAUGCAUACUCAAAUAUUAUGUAAUAUUAUGUAUAACAACACAAUAUUAAAAUAUUUAACGUAAUCAUCACUGAUAAGCACAUAUAGUAAAUAUUUCUACCUUGAUACUCUAUAAAUUAAUAAACUCUCCAAAAUAUAAUAUUUUUCUCCGGUCCCUACUUGGCCCAGUGAAAAAAAUUACUGAUGUCAAUAAUAUAAUAAGAUAAUAUAUUACAAAUAUAUAAAUAUAUAAUUUCAUUACUAUUAUAAAUUAAUAAUUAUUUAAAAUUGCAAAAAUAUCUAAGACAAUAUAGUGAAAUAUGAUCAUAAUUUUAUUUAUUUUUUUGGAUAAAACUUAAAUAUAAUUGAAGCUCAGUUCUAACUUUUUUAUUGCAUCUAAAAUUUCGGUGUUGUCUUCUCGAACUGCAUCAAAAAAAUAUCAAAAGUUCUAGACGCGAUAAGUGCAUCUUUACGUGAAAAUGAUUCCAAAGGUAUUGUAUCGUCUUCAACUUCAUUGUCAACUGUUUUCUUCAAUGAUAUUCACAAUUUCUUUUAAACUUUGGACCUUUGUACAUGUAUCAUUUUCAUCCGGGUAAUCCAACAAGUUAUUGACAUCCGUUAUAUUGCAGUAACCGAGAUCAUUAUUAAUCAAGACAUCAAAUUCAUGAAUGUCGUUUUUACAAGUAGGUUCAUUUAAAUUCCUUGAGACUUCAUCCACAAAUGAAUUUUGCAGUAUCGAUACAAUGUACUUAUGCAUAAUGAAUUCAAUUUUUUUUUACAUUAUUUCAAUAAAUAUGAUACAAUAAUUUGAUGUGAUCAAAAUUAACCUUUUUGAAUUUCAAAAUACUAUUUAAGUUUUUUUUUGGUGACGAAACACUCUUUAAGUUAAUAAUUAUUAAUUUAUCGAUUAAAGAGUACCUCUACAAAAUAAUAAUAUUUCAUGAUCCUGAUAAUAUUUAUUUAGAGAAAUUUCACUGUAGUCAAUUUGAAGUAUGAAUAUCUAAAAGGUAAAAUUAAUUUAAAUGAUGUCCAUCAAUUAUGUGAUAACUUUAUCGAAAAGAUUAAUGCUGACUGUUUUUUAAUUACAUUCAUACUUCUUUAAUUUUUUUGGUUAAUUUCAUUAGCAAAAACAUACUUUAUUAAAUCUUUAUGUGCUUUUAUUUAUGAUAACUAAAUAAGAUUUUAAUGUUAAAUGUUAGUAUACAUAUAUAACAAUACUUUAAUAUAGAAAAUCGUGAAAAUAACUAAAUAAAAUUUGAAUAUUAAAUGUUAGUAUACCUAUAUAACAGUACCUUAAUAUAAUAAUCGUGAAACUUCAGACAAACAUUGUCAUUAUAACUAGAUUUCUCUGUAUUACUACCAUAUAAAAGCGCCAGUUAGUUGGCACCUCAAGCAGGCAACUGGCGGUUGUCAUGCCUGAUUCCAACUGUCUGCUUGUUCUGUGAUUUUACUAUAACAUUCCUAAUUAAUUAUUAUAUGUCAUUUACGUAUUAGAAAAUUAACAAUAUUUAAUAAAAAUAAAAUACACAUUUAUGAAAUGUCUGCUUCAUCUGCUUCGACCGUAAUUUUAUUAUAUCACUCCUAAUUAAUUAUUAUAAGUUAUCUAAAUAUUAAAAAAUUAAUAAUAUUUAAUAAAGAAUAUAAAAUAGAUAUAAAAUAAUAGAUUAACUAUUGAUGUUUUAAUUAAUUUCGCAUCUUAUAUGAGAUCCACUUGUUUUUUCACAUUUAUUUUUUAUAGAAUUUUUGCUAUAUCACUUCUAAUUAGUUAUUAUAGUCAUUUAAGACAUGUCUGUCUCGCUACUUCAAUCGUGAUAUUUGAUUGACUCUCGAAAUUAUACUAGUGUCACUUAAAUUGGAAUAGAAGGAAAAGUAUUAUAAAUCCAAUAAUUAAAAACUUAAACUAUUUUUAAAAUACAAUUAAUUAUCAACGCCACAAAAGUUUGAACAAGAAGAGUAUUAUAGAUUAUAAUAACUAACAACUUAAAAUAUUAAAUUACAACGUCAAAAAAGUAUUAUAAAUUACAAUAGCUAAUAGCUUAAAAAAUUUAUUAAAAAUAUAAUUGAUUAUCUAAAUUUUGAUUUAAUUAUUUUUUAGCUUUAACUUGUUAUAUAUAUAUAUAUAUGUGUGUGUGUUAAAGUGGAUGUCUUUGUGUGUUGGAAACAAUUUUUGGAAAUUAGUGCAUGCAUUGCUAAUUGCUAUGCUUUUUCUUUUCCGGAGCACAUAGUAUAUUGGAAACAAAAGAGCACACAUAUUAUUAUGAGUACAUGGUAUAUAUGCAAAAACACAAAAUGAUCAAUUAUUUUUUUAAUAUUCUAAACAUCAUAUCAAGUCAAAAUCAGACAAACGGAUUAAAACAUAAGGCCCUCCAUACUACAUAGACAACUUUCUAAACUUGUAAUGCUUUUUCAUUUAGACAACUUUCUAAAUAUGUAAGGACUUUUCAUUUAUAGACCCAAAUGUAACUAAUGACUUGCCAAACUUUUGGUGGAAUGUGCCUAAACUACUCUUAGCCAGUGGGCACAUAUAUUAUGUUGCGUAUCCGAAUCAAAUUGCACAUGUCAUAUACAUUUUAAAAGUACCAUUUUGUUCUACUUAAAAAUACGAUAUUUAUCCUAUAAUCCAAGAGUUUAUGAAUAAAUACAGGUCCUAAUUAUCUUUUUCUCGAAUAAUAAUUAUUGAAUACAAACGAAAAAGUGGGUAAAAAUUAAGCCAAUUAUAAAUGAGAAUAGCAUAAUCAUGUCAACUCUCCGUCUACUAUGGACAGAUAAAAAUGAACGGAAGAGUAAGAAUUUCUUUGCCGUUGGCUUUUAGACUUCUUUAACAUAAUUGCAGAUAUUAAGACUUGAAAGAGAAACUGUUACGAGACAUAGUAAUAGUUUAUUGUAUUUUAAUUAAUAUACUCAAUGAGAUAACAAGACUUGAUUCUUCCCUAAAUUCUGAUACCCAGUGACGGAGCCAGAAAUUUUAUGAAGGGUGUUCAAUCAUUAUAUUAACAAUUUUUUUUAUUUUUUUUACGAAUGGUGCAUUGAAAAUUUUAAAAUCAAACUACAUAAUACUAAUAAUCAUUUUUUCAUGAAUAAAUGUAUCAAAAUUUAAAAUCAAACCACAUAAUGUUUAGCUUUAGUGUUCAUGUUUAAUUUAAUACGAAGUAAAGCGAUAAGCAAAAAAAGAACAAGAAAAAAAAUCAGUUUUAUGCUUCAAGCUUUCGUCGAUCUAUGGUGACGACAAUAAUAACAACGAAACAUGAAAGAUGAAGAGCAAAACUAAAGGAGGUCUUUUUUAAAAGAAAAUUCUAUAUAAAGUUUUUUUCACUUUUAGCAACGCUAUAGAGAAUUUUUAGGAUUUACUUAUUAAUUUUAAAUUAAAAAAUUAUUUUUAAAUUUUAUAUAAAUUUUUAAUUAAAGAAAAGGAACAAAGUCUACUAGUCCUUCGUUUCCCCCCGAGUUUUGAAGCAUUUACAAGCUCUUCUAAAUAUGAGAAAAAAACCUUUUAAAAAAAGCAGCCCGCAGGGGAUCAAACCCACGCACUAAAGGAGAAUGUCCAUUCCCUGCGCUUUUACCACCACUAGGCUAGAGAAACUGCAUGUGUCAAUAUCGUUCAUAUUGUAUAUUUAACCCUUUAAAGCAGCAUUUCAUGUACGUAAUUUUCUGGCGAAGGGUGUUCAUUUGACCACCCUUGCUACAACGUACCUCCGCCCCUGCUGAUACCGCUAACAAAAUCUUCCCUCCGUUUAAAAAAGAAUGACCUACUUUCCUUUUUAGUCUAUUUCAAAAAGAUUGACUCUUUUUCUUUUUUGGCAAUACUUUAAUUUAAACUUUCCAGAUGACAUGUUUAGGACCAUAAGAUUAAAAGACAUUUUGAUACAUUUGACACAACUUUAAUUUAAGGCCACAAGAUUCAAAACUCUUCUUUAUUUUCUUAAACUUUGUGUCAAGUCAAAGUAGAUCAUUCGUUUUUAAAAGAGGAAAUAAUAUUAACAAAUUUGGUAAUAGUAACCUCAACUAAAAGAAUCUUUUCAAGAUUAAGAAAAUAAUAAAAUUUUACCUAAGAGGAUAACAAUGCCUUGAGAAAGAUUAAUUGACUCUAUAAGUGAGUGAUUAUAACCAGAAUAACUAAUUAAUAAAAUUUUCAUCUCAAAAAGACUGAAGACUAAAUCCAAAUAAAGAAUAGUGAAAUAUUAUUAAAUAAGUUUAAGGUGUUUUAUUAAGAUGUAGAUUUAGAUAUAGGCCGCUGGCUAGCUCCAUUAUUGAGCUGCACCUGACUAAAACUAGUACUGCCAUCCUAAGGUUGUGGUAGAGUGAUGUAAAAAGUCUUAGAUUCGAGCCUUGGUAUUAAGUUGCCUUUUGCAAAUUUGGAUUCGUCGGACCCAAAGUGGAUAUCCUACACUGAGUAGGAAACUGAAAAGGAAAAAAGUUAUUACUGCCAAUCUCAAGACAAGACUUUGAUAAUUCAUUAUGAAUAUUUGGAUAGGAUUACAAUUGCUACUGCACAUAUAGGCUGCAUUACUUUCUUGUUGACUAUUGGUACAUAACUGAAAAUAGGUGAAACUGCAAUACUUAGUUUUCCCGUAAAAUUUCCCCCGAAUAAAUAGUUUUCCAUGUCCAGUAUUCGCAACCUGAUAAUAUCGUAUGAGUUUACAGUACAAUGGAAUCGUGCAGCAUUGAGCUCCAGUUUCUCGAGGGCAAGACCAUUUUCAUCACCGGAGUAACAGGAUACCUAGCAAAUAGUACUUUCUCUACUACAACUCUCUCCUUUAGGUUGCAAAAUCAUGCUUUGUGAAUACUAAUACUUAGUGUUGCUACUGCUUCUAUUGUAAAUUCUUGUAGUUCUCACUGAAAAGAUACUCAGAGUCCAGCCAAAUGUGAAGAAGCUCUACUUGCUAAUUAGAGCUCCAGAUUCAAAUUCUGCUAAACACCGCUUUAACAACGAGGUACCAGCAAACUUCUACAACUACUAUUAGUAGCCAGCACAUUACACUACAUGUCUCGGUUGUCAUGCAUUAUUACCGCAUGAUAAUUCAAGAUUAUCCGAGUUCACUGCUCAAUACGAUUAUUAAACUGCAGGUUCUGAAAACAGAUCUAUUCAGAGUUCUAAGGGAGAAGUUGGGAGCGAACCUACACAGCUUUAUAGAAGACAAGGUUUCCCUAGUUCCUGGGGAUAUAGCUUGUGAUAGUUUAGAUGAGAUGUGCAGAGAAGUUGACAUAAUAGUAAACUCUGCUGCAACAACUAGAUUUGAUGAAAGGUAGAUAUAGAAUGAAAUUUUUUUUUCCUAAAUUAGAACCAAGAAGUUUACUCUGUGUUUCUGCAGAUACAAUACUGCUAUAAGUAUCAAUGCAUUGGGUGCCAUGCAUGUUGUCGAAUUCUCCAAGCAGUGUUCAAAACUAAAGAUGCUUCUCCAUGUCAGCUCCAUCAUAUAUGUGCUUAACGUACCAAAUUUCAUUAUCAUGUGACUUCUUUUGCAUAUAUAUUAACUUUAUUGUAAAUAUGGGUACUUUUCAGCCUAUGUUUCUGGGGAAAAGGAAGGACUGAUACUAGAGAAGCCAUUGAACUAUGGCAAGACGCUUAAUGGAAGCUCUGUCUUAGACAUACAAGUAGAGCAAAGGUUGGUAGAGGAGGCGCUAAAGGACCUUCAAGUUAGGCAAGCCACAGGAAAAGAAGUAACUCUAGCUAUGAAAGUUCUAGGUAUUGAGAGGUAAAUGAUUCAUAAAAUCAGCCUCCCCCGUUGAUACAAAUAUAUAUCCUAUUCUUUUAUAGGGUUCAUUCAAGACAAGUGUGUAUAUAUAAUUCUUCAGGGCAAGGCUACAUGGAUGUCCAAACACAUACUCAUUCACAAAAGCAAUGGGAGAGAUGCUCCUGGGACACUUCAAGGAGGAUCUCCGACUCAUAAUCCUAAGGCCACCAAUUAUAUUGAGCACCUAUAAGGAGCCGUUCCCUGGAUGGAUUGAAGGAAUGAGGUGAUAAUUAUAUACUACCAUUUAUGCACACAGGGAAACUAAAGAAGAGUAAUUAGUAAACCAACAUAAUCUGAUUAUUCCUUCCUGCAGAACCAUCGACACAUUCAUUGUUGGCUACGGUAAAGGUAAACAGAAAGUUGCAAUAGGUGGCAGAGAUAGCAUAGCAGAUGUGGUACGUGAGUCAGUCAUAUGUAUAUAUAGGGUAUACCUUAUGUCAGCUGGUAAAUCAGUUCAGAUAUGUACACUUUGAGUUCCAUAGCAUUUGCCAAUUCCUUAAUGCCAUCUUGCAAUUUUGCCUAGAUUCCAGCCGAUAUGGUUGUGAACUCAGUCAUUGCGGCUAUAAUAGCCCAUCAAAAUCCAUCUUCCCAUACGGUUGUUUACCAUAUUAGCUCCUCUAGGAGCAAACAACUCAAAUUGGAUGAUUUUAUACAAAUUGGCAUUGAUUACUUCAAGAAGAAUCCAUGGAUUGACGAAAGAGGAAAGCCAGUCAAAAUGAAGAAGUUCCAUUUACUGGAUAGCAUGGAGAGCCUUCACAAAUACAUCGGAAUCCACUACAUGCCCGCAUUAAAGGUUAGCAUUGGCAUAGUAAAUGCCUUCUUAAAUAAGCUAAAAACUCACGAUAUAUAUCAACUAAAAGAGGGAAAGAUCCAUAUGCAAGAGCGAUGUAUAGAAAAAGAUUAAAGAGGUAUUUAUGAAUGUUGACAUGCAUUUCAGCAUUGAUGGCCUACCACUAGCUAAGUUUGUAGUUUUAACAUGUUCCAGAUAUUAAAGUGGACAAACUCGAUACUUUGCCAGCAUUUACAAGCUCAAUAUGCAAACUUAGAAAGAAGGAUCAAUGACGCCAUUCGACUAGCUGAACUAUACAGACCUUACGCAUUCUUCAAAGGAGUGUGAGUUAAUUAUUUGACGCCCCUUUCCUUUCUUCUUCUUCUUCUUCUUCUUCAGUUCUAUGUUCAAUUUGAUGUAGAUACCUCAAUGUUUGAGCUAACAUCUGUCAACUUGUUAAUUUUUGAUAUACUACUAGAUACUAAAUUUAUCAAACAUAAAGGUGUUCCAAAUUGAUAUUCUAACACCGUGCAUGCUGAUUUUUAUCAGUUUCGAUGAUACCAAUGCUGAAAUGUUAAUGAGAGAAAGCAACGCAGACGAUACACUUAAUUUUGAUCCGACAACCAUUCAGUGGGAAAAAUACCUCAUGGAAACUCACAUUCCGGGAGUUGUGAAGUAUAUUUUCUAAGAAAGAAGAACUAUAUAUGUGAAUGGAAGAGGUUCUCUACUUCCAAAUAAAAAGGCUGUGCUAAGUGACAACCUCAGUUCACGAAAAUAAUAGUAGCUCUAUAUGUAAUAAUAUUGAAGGACUACUUUUGUUGUUUCGCAUAUAAUCGAUAACUAGACACUGGCAAACUGAACUCAAAGAUUGGGCUUUACCUUGUACCUCUCUAUAUAUUAGUGCCUUUAUCAUCAGAACAAUAUAUAGCUAUUAUACACCAUCAUUAGACUAUCAUACUCAGAUUUAGCCAUCUCAUUCAUUUCCUCUUCGAAACGUCGGAAUUCUUCCAUAGAAGUGUUGAGAUGUUCCUCAGCUUCUUCAACUUCCUUUUCUUGUUCCAAUUCCAUGGCUGCCCAUGCCUUGUAAGCUUCCACUUCAAACAGCUUCAUCAGAUCAUCUUCUAUGGUGCAAGGAUCUAUGUUCUUGUCACAGAGUGCCUGCUCUGAAAGAAUGGUGAACUGAGCCUCCAUUCAACCUCACUCUUCUUGGUGUUCCAUUCUUUCAUCGGAAGCAAUUGUAUUCCCUUUUAAUAUAUUUUUCUUUUGCAUCCUCAAUUAUCACCUCUAAAAGUUUGAAAAUCCAACUACGUAUUGUAAAUUUUCCUAUAGGAAACUAUUUAAUUACCAAAAGUCCAAAACAAUAAUGUAGCGAAAUAUUUUGAGUAUACUGAAAUUUGUGUGUGUUUUAGAAGAAAAUAAAGAUUUGUUUCUUCUGCCCAUUGUCAUAAUUUCUUCUAGGCUUCUCUCCUAAUAAAAAAAGCCCAACGUGACAGGCCACUCCCAGUCGCCAUUUGCAGGUAUCUCAUUUAGUUUCACCAUUUUUGUUAGGAAUCGAAUCAUCAAACCAUUAGCCAAAUAUGAUUAGGGGUAUAUACCAGACCAGACACAAAGUUUUUAUCGAUAAAUCUAUUUUAGCUGGGAGUUCAAAUAGUGACAAAUCGAUCCAUAUAAUUCCUACGUACAAUGCACCCAGCUAUAGCCUAUAGGUCUCCCCAAAAACUAUGUAUCUAUUGUAAAGCAACUUCUUCCCUUCACGUUGUGCCGUGCCGCAACAUAAAUGUGAAGGCCAAAUGUACCAGCAGUCAAUUAGGAGGAGGAUAAAUAUAUCGAGUCAAAUAUAUCCCUACAGUAUUAUCAAAAAUAGUUAUAGUAUAUCUCUCGAAUAAGUUUCGAUCCAAAUAUACUUAUUUUCAUUAUAUUUUGAGUACUCUUAUAAAUAUAUAACUGAAUGUCUACUUUACCAUAUAUGAAUAUCUAUUUAUGAAAAAAAGUUAGAAAGCUCAAGGUUAUUUCGCCCUAUAAAUAAAAAGGGUUUUACCUUCAUUGUAAUUCCUUCUGAAGAAUCCUCGAGAAAAAUAACAAUUACUCUCUCCAUUAUCUCUAAUCUUCUUCUUUGUUCUUUAUUAUUUUAUAACACGUUAUCAGCACGACACUCUGCCAAACAAGGUGAGAUACUAUGUCAAACAAGGUGAGAUUAUAAAUCUAAAGGUAAUUUCAAGGUUAGUAAUUCCUUAUGUUAUUUGUCUUUUGCUACUAAUAAAAUAAUUAUUGUUGGAUUUGAGAAAAAAUAAUUGGUUUGGAGCCAUAUUUGUUUUAAACUUAUUCCUCAAGAAUAAUAUUAUCAAAAUGAAUGGUAAUAUGUUGGGUUCAAGUCCCAUCAAGUUAUUACCUAAGACACCUUUAUAUGGAUAAGAAGUUGAGUUUGAAUCUCAAUGCACCAUAUUGAUGAUAUUAUGAUAGUUAAGGCAAAAUAAUAUAUUUUUUGAUGAAAAGACAUCAAAUCUAUCCAUUGAAUAUGAUCCAUUCCAAGAAGUGAAUGUGGGAGCAAUAUAUGAUAAGUCUGAAAGAUGACAAUUUGCUCCAUUCUUGAAGUGAAUGUUGUAGCAAUAUAAAGAAAUUCUCUCUAUCAUAUUUAUACCUCGAUUUGCUCCUGACGUAGCAAUACAUGAAAGAUGUUAUAAGCUAUCAAAAUUUGAUAGGCUUAAGACACAAUUAUAUUUCAUUCCUGGGGAAUGAGAAGCUAAUUAAUGCAAACGUGCACUUGAUUGUGAUAGUAUCACAACUUACCUCCGAAUGAGGCAAAAUAACUGAGAAGAGUUAUUUUGAAAUCUACUUUUAAAGUAGUACUUUUGAAAUUUAUUCAUGUAAUAGUAAAUCUGAAAUUUACUAAAGUGAAGAACACAUAUCAUGGUAAACUUGGAGUUUACUACUAUAAUAAAUAAGUUCAUAAGUUGACAUGAACGAUUAUGACAUCUCGAAGAUGUGCAUAUUGAGUAUUAGACAUGUAUUAAAGAAAAUAGAAGAUUUUCAAGAAUUAUUUAUGUAACUUGUUCUCAUGAUAAGUUGACUGGACCAACUAAUAUUGGGAUUGGAUAGCAUUUUGCUAUAAAACCCAUUUUCGAUAGCCAUAUUUUACAUAAUUACUAUUUAUAACUGUUGUAUUCGAUUUAUGCCCGCUGUAUUCGGUUUUACAGAUAAUAUGUAUUCAUAUAAAAUAUGAAUACAGUCCCUAUUUAGUCGCGCAAAAAAUGGAAUUCAGUAUUUUUAAAAAGAAAAAAGUCUCAAUCAUGCUUAUCUCGUUGAACUAAAUAUUUUCUUGCCUAACACUACCAUUAUCUUUUUUUUAUAUUUUUUUAUUUUUUAUAUUUUUCCCUUUUUUUUCUUAUUCUUUUUUAUAUUUUUUCCUACUUUUAGUUUUUUCGUUUUUUCUUUUUGUUUUUUUUCUCUCUUUAAUCUAUAACUUCUAUUUCUCUUUCUUCUUUGAUUUAUUUUUUUUACUUAUUUUCUUUAUUAUUUUUUAGUCGAGCACAAGACAUGGUUGAUAACAUAAAUACUACACUUGUUUAUCGUACUUGUAGUCACACCGCCAUUUAUAUUUUUGUAUUUAUUGAUACAACUGUAUUUGUAUUUGUAUUUUAAAUUUCGCACUUGUAUUUAUAUUUUAUAGUUCGCAUUUGUAUUUGUAUUUAAUAGUUCGCACUUGUAUUUGUAUUUGUUAGUUUGCGUCAUCAUUUAUAUUUUAUAUAUUUCAUAUUUGUAUUUUAAAGAACCAUUUUGUAUUUUAUAAUUAAUUACAUAUUUGUAUAUUUAGAUUAUAUUUGGAUUAUACUUGUAUUUGUAUUUUUAUUCACACUUGUAUUUUAAAGAACCAUGUUUGUAUAUUUAGAUUAUACUUGAAUUAUACUUGUAUUUGUAUUUUCUUCAUUACCUUUUUAUUUUUAAGAAAUUAUUUUGUAUUUGUAUUUGUAAGUUGAUUGCAUAUUGUAUUUGUAUACAAAUAAGUAAGUGCAUUAAUUGUAUUUUUGUGAUUCUAAAAUAUAUAAAUAUGGAAUGUAUCAUUUGAUACAAAUGAACCGUUUUGUAUUUGUAUAUCAAAAUUAUCAUUCAUAUUUGUAAAUAAACAAAUUUCACUUGAUACAAUACAAUGACAAACAAAUGAAACAAAUGAUUUUACAAAUACAAAUACAUAUUGUAUUUGUAUAAAAAUUUGAGUUGUAUUUAUUUGUAUAAAUAAACACAACUAGUAUCAAUAAAUACAAACAAGUAUUCAUUGAAAGAAAAUCAAUCAUUUCUUUUCAAUAAUUAAAAAAUAUAAAUGGUAAUUCACACUUGCAUUUAUAUGUUAUAGUUCGCAUUUAUAUUUGUAUUUUAUAGUUCACACUUGUAUUUAUAUGUUAUAGUUCGCAUUUGAAUUUGUAUUUUAUAGUUCGCACUUGUGUUUGUAUGUUAUAAUUCGCAUUUAUAUUUGUAUUUUAUAGUUCGCGCUUGUAUUUGUGUUUUCUAGUUCGCACAAAUAAAAAGAAGGAGAGAAAUUGAAAAGAAAAAAAAAAGGAGAAAAAUGGGAGAAAAGGAAGGAGAAAAAAUACAAAAAAAAAAAAGAAAAAGAAAAAAAAAGGAGUAAAAUGAAAAAAAUAAAAAAUAAAGAGAAAACAACAAAAAAAAAGAAAAGAAAAACUGAAAAAAAGAAGAGAAUAAUAGAAAAUAGAAAAAGAGAGAAAAUACACGAGAAAGACUAUGGAUUGUAAUUAGGAAUAAUUAAUAGGUAAGAGGGGCUAUGAAUUGUAAUUAAUUAAAAAUUAGGCUUUAAGUGGUAAUAAAAGCCCAAUAGUGACUAAUCCAGGUAAUUUUCCCUUUUAUCUUUUACCCUAUAUUACUUCUAACCCUAAUAUAUUUUUAUUUUUACUGUGGAUCUCAACCAUGAUCUAUCAAGGACCUGCAAGGUUGCCUGCAAGCUUGCUCUUUCUUGUCUUCUUUAUCUUACUUUAUUUUGAAAUGGAUAGCUUCCUCGCUGAUUUAAGCUUUCUAAGAUUGUUUUGAAACGGGAGUAAAGCUUCACUAAAUCUACCUAAUCUAACAUCAAAAAUUGUAUUCUCUGUACAAAUUGUGUAUCCUACUUUACUAUUCUCUAUAGAAGACAUGAUUUACGAUAAAUUUGUAGAAAAAAUAUCUUAUUAAUAAAUUUAAAAUUUAUAAUAAUUAGGGGUAUUUUAGUAAACUUAUCCGUUACGAUACGGUACCAUACCAUCAAACCAAACAAAAAAACUGUUAUUAAACAGCAGUGAGCGAUACAGUCUAUCCAAACAUUGUAUUGUACUAUUCUAUACAGUACCAUACCAUACCAUACUAUAUCGUACAUUAUGAAACCAUGGCAAACCACCAUCCAAAUAGAGUGUUAGUAAAAUACAUCUCUAAUUAAUAUUAUUUUAAAUAUAUGUCAAACCAAAAUGGGCCACGUAAAAUAAAACAGAAUGUAUCCAAUUCUUUUGGAGAUAAUAUGUCUCUAUCCCAACUUUUUUGAAAAUUAUUAAAAAUAUCCUAGUCUAGUAAUUAUGAAUACAUCACUUUCUUGUAUAUACAUCACUUAAUUUUACAUAGAUAUAAUACAUUUUUUUUACAUACAUCACUUAAUUUUACAUGCAUACAUACAUCACAUUUUUUUGGAUACAACACUUAAUUUUAUACAUCAUAUUAUUUUGGAUACAUCCAUUUUAUACAUCACAUUCUUUUUGAUACUUCACUUAAUUAUAUACGAAUACAUCACAUUUUUCAGUGAUUUAUUUGAGAUUUUAAGUAAAAUUAAUUUUUUUUAUAAUUAUUUAAAAAAAUUAAAAUAUUAAAUGGCUAUGAUAAGUUAAGUUGUGCUACCGACCAUGUCAUUCUUCCUUACAAAAAAAGGAUAAGUACAUGUAAGAAUCAACUUUAACCCCAUCUCAUAUGUUACAUAAAUAAAAUAAUUAAAAGGUAUUAUUACUCUAAAUGGUGCAACUUUUAUUUUAUUACGAAUUAUAGUCUAACUUUAAUCCAAAUUACUUAAAAUAGUCUUCUUUUCUCCCUUUCCUCCUCAAACCAGUUGACCUUUUUCUCCCAGUCGUCGUCUGUUGGAGCUCCUUUAUCGUUUGUGUCCAAUUUGUCGGAAACGAUUUCUCCCGCGAACAAAAUAGCAAGCAACAAACACCCCGACUCCUCAUCGUUUUCACCUAUCUCCGGCGAACAAAACAACAAACAACCACUCCAACUCCCAUUUUCUUUCCUUACCUCCACAACACCAACAACAAACAACACAACAAUUAAUCAAAAAAGAAGGUAAUGUCUCAAUUGAAAAAUGGAGGAGAAAACAGUAAAGUUGUGUUGAUUUGAUUGCAGAAAAAGUGAAGUUGUAUCGAUUUGAUUGCUGGAAAGUCACGAGUCUAUUGAAGGAAAGUCGUGGCUCGCCGGAAAAAAUGAAAAAAAAGAAGAAGAGAUGAUGGAUCUAUCGGUGGUGAUGGUGAAACUCUUAGAUAUUGUAUUAAAAUUAUAGUAAACAUAAAGAAUUCUUGUAAUAUAAUUCGAAUUCAAUAUUAUACAUUUUUAUGAAUUUGAAAUGUUUGAAAUACGUAUAAUACUUAUAAUACAUUUGUAUUUAAAAUGUUUUAGUUAUAUAUAUUUCACUUCACAUAUUAAAAUAUGUCUUUAAUACGUAUAAUAUAUUAAAUUCAAAAUAUAUUAAAUUUUUUAUUUAUUUUUUAUCUUAUUAAUAACGUUAAAAAAUGUAUUAAAAUUAAAUUUGAAAUGCUAUUCAAGUUAGUUGGGGGUUUGGGCCACAGGUGACAAAAGAGUUUUAAAAUGAGGUGUAGGUGACACAAGUCUUAAUUAUUAGUUGGAGGUGACAAUUACUUUAUUAUGGAUUAAGAAAGUUGAGGAAGUUUGAAAAUAAUCCAUAAGUUUUAAAAUUUACACUUUGAUCUCAAUGUAUACCUAAAAUAAUGGAAAACGGAGGGAAAAAAUGUGUCCUUCUCUCUCUUCUCAUCCAUUGUUAUUUUCUAUCUCUUAGCGAUUUUUGUUGUUAAUUAUUUCUGUUUCUGUUGCUUUAUUCAUCAUCGUCUGCUUCAUUAUCAUCAUCUUCUACUUCAUUAUCAUCUUCAUCUUCUUCUUGUCGACCAUUUGUUCUUGUUUUUGUUGGUACAGAGCUACUGCUGCGAUCUGACCAAUUUCUUAGGUCAAAUUUUGUUUACUACAUUACUUUCCACUUUGGCAUUACUUCAUAGGUGACUUUGGUAAGUAAAAUUAUGAUUUUUAUUCGUAUUUGUCAUCUGGGUACAAAUCUGUUUUUUCAAUAAUGGAUAGAACCCCGAUUAUGAAUCCAGCAUAAGUGCCCACAAUUUAAACAGAUCAAUCAUCUGGUAAUCAGAUGGGUAAUCUGUUCCAUCAUCGUAUUAUCUGUUGCAUCAGAUACUGCUGCGUUCUGACCAAUUUCUUUGGUCAAAUUUUGUUUACUACAUCACUUUCCACUUUGGCAUUACUUCAUAGGUUACUUUGGUAAGUAAAAUUAUGAUUUUUAUUCGUAUUUGUCAUUUGGGUACACUUCUGUUUUCCCAACAAUGGGUGAUUAUGAAUCCAACACAAGUGCCCACAAUUUAAACAGAUCAAUCAUUUGGUGCAUCAGAUGAGUAAUCUGUUGUAUCAGACUAUUUAUCUGUUACAUCAUCAUAUUAUCUGUUGCACCAAACUAAUUAUCUGUUGUAUCAGGAUAUUUAUCUAUUACACCAGACUAAUUAUCUGUUACAUCAGAAUGUUUAUCUAUUGCACCAGACUAAUUAUCUGAUACAAGGAAUGAUUAAUCUAUUUGAAACAACACAAAUCAACCCCUGCCACAAACCCAAUAGAUAAAUCUUGCUAUUGCUACUAGAUUCUAAAUUAUUCCUUUUUAUGUCGAAUCGUUGAAAUAUUUGUUGAGAAGAUAAUAGACAGAAUGAAAAUUAAAUAUGGAUUAAAACGUCAAAGAUCAAAUAUAAUUUAUUUAUUAAACAAAUAAAAAUGCAUAUAAUAGACUAAAAGAAAAAUAAUAGUCUUAUUAUUAUUAUUAUUAUUAUUAUUAUUAUUAUUAUUAUUAUUAUUAUUAUUAUUAUCAGCAUCAUCAUUGCCAGUCGGCCAAUCUUUAACCGAAAGUAGCAAGGUCCUUCUCAACCUGCAUAUCUCGCAGAGCAUUCUUGAUCUAACUCCUCCCAGUUCCCAUUGCAGAUCACGAACUUGAUUCUAAAGUUCAUUCACGGAGUCUUGCAGAAAAGCAACGUCCCAUACUAGGUCAGCCAUAAUCUUAUCUUCUAGAGUGUAAUAUGAAAGACAAGAUGUAAUAAAUAAAUAGAGUGUAUUUGAAUGAACGAUUGAGUAAGGAGGGACCUAUUUAUAGAGGAUUGAAUUUGAAUGAGAGGCAAAAAAACGCGACUAUUCACCACCAUACAUUAAUUACAUUUUUGAUUAAACUAAGAAAAUAAAUAUUGUGAUAUAAGUCAUGACUUUUCAAAUUAUUAUUAUUAAUUAGUUCUUUUGAAAAACCAUUUUUAUUGAGUUGUGGCAACAAAUUCUAUAUUUGUUGCAUCAGAUAACACAUCUGUGACAACAAAUAUAUUAUCUGUUGUUUUAUUGAGUUGUGACUCGAUAUAGGUUGCAUCAGAUAAAUCAUCUGUGACAACAGAUAUAUCAUCUGUUGCAACAGAUAAUUUAAUUGUUGCAACAUAUAAUCUACUUUUUUUUAAAAAAAUAACUAUCAUCAUAUCAUUAAUCUAAAUUUGCUUACUUUUUUAUUUUAUAAAUUAAAAAAAAUACCUUUUUCAAAUUCCUUAAUAAAAUAAUAACCAUUUUAUUAUAUAAUAAAUAAUUUUAAAAAUAAAUUCAUAAACAAAAAUGGUGAAAAAUCACGAUCAGUUAUUAAAAUUGUGGUUAUAAAUUGUCUUUAUCAUUUAUCAUUUAUUUCCUUAUUAUUUAUUUACAAAAUAUUUUUCAUAUUGAAUAAUCGGAACGAAAAGUCAUGUCUUUUUCUUAUCACCCUCUCAAUAACAAUAACUCUUUUUUAUUAAUAACCGCCAGGUGCAACAUAUGAUCGAUCUGUCGUAGCAGAUUAACCUCUAACUAUUGACACAAAUUGCUGCUCAAUCCCUACCACCAACCAUCGACAUGUUGAGAACAAGGAAUAAGUAGAAUGAUUAUUAUUAAAUACUAAAUAAGAAUUAAAAAUUCAAAGUCGACAACAAAAUGAAAUAAAUGUUCAUUGAUUUUUGAAUCCCUUGGGUAGAUUUGAUAUACAAAAGGAGGAAAAUAAUCGCUAAAAUAAAAAACAUUAUCUAAUUAUUAUUACUAUUACUACUAUUAUUAUUAUUGUCAAUCAGACAUUUUUCAUCCGGCAGCCUUGCUCCGAAGUCAGUCAAAUCUCUCUGGAGUUCAUCAAACUGCCUUUGAAGUUCACACAAGGACUCGAUAUGAAUAUUCUUGUACGAAUCUGGAUCAUCCAUAUUUGUAAGGAGGUACCUAUUUAUAAAUUAUUGUAUCUCGAAAAGAAAAAAAAUGCUUUAAAAUAAAUCUAACAGAUGGGUAAUCUGUUGUAAAAUAUAUUCUUUCUGAUAGAUAACUUACAAUAUACUGGCAAUCUUUUGCAACAUAUGUAUAUAUCUAUUUGAUUUCUGCAACAGAUUGAUUAACUGUCGUAACAGAUGUCUCCAAUUGUUUGACAAUAUAAACAGAUGUGUCAUCUGUUGCAACAAGCUAUCCAUCUGUUUAUUCAAUUUAAGCAAUAGAUGGGCUAGGAAGAAUAAGAUACGUGCAGAUGGAUCCACUAUCAUAUGUGUGAGAGUUAAGUAUGUAUUACUAAUAAGGUUACCGGGAAAACACACACAAAGUAGAAUGUUUUUGUGAAUGCAGUUUUUAACCGAUUAGGCAUUGAUCAUUCAAACAAGAUCUUGCAUUGUACCGUUAAGUUUGAUGGGUUCGAAAAUGAUAAGGCUGAGGACCUCAUGAAGAUGGUGCAGAUACCCUGUUACAAAUUACUGACGGUUGGUGCUCGUGUUUAUACGUGUCAAGUUUUGAGAAGGGAUCAAUAUUUAUCGUCAUUGGAGAGAUCCAAUAGCGAUUGGACUUAAAUUUAAGUGUGCAUUGGACCCUUAGAGGGCCCUCGAAGUCUCGCACUGCAUCAAACAAGAAUGGAAAACCAAUAUAGUCAUUGCCCUGGACAAAAUUUAUAAUCAAGUGCAAAUAUGAAAGUAUAUCCGGUAAUGUAAUUUCAUCUGUUGUGUCUCUUAAAGAAAAAUAAUGCAUCUGAACACUUUGCUAGGGAGAUGCGUGGUCGCGAUUAUUACCUAGGUAGAAAAUAGGAGAAGACCAACAAAGCAGCCUCACGGGCAUCGAGGGUAGAAAUGAUGUUCAGCAAGUCUAGAAAACUUAUGCCAACAACAACUGCAGUUAAAAUAAGGAAACUUAGCGAAGGCGGCAAUUUCUGAAUUUUAAAUUUCAUCCAUGCCUUCAUGUUUGUGUUUCCGAUCAGGUCCACUACCGUUGACCUGAUCGGAACCACAAGCGAGAUUAAAAGGCACAUAGAGUAUAAUUACUUCCUUAGCAAUAUGGAUUAAUUGAUUAUGUUUUCUUGCGUUAGCAUGCUUUUAACAUUCCUUGGAGAAGAUCAGAUGCUUGCUGUAGUAUGUGAAUCCCGAUAAUUUUUAAGCUUGCCUCCAGCUUGUUGAUUCUGUAUUCAAGCUGGUCGUUGUGGUCUUUAAAGUUGUUAAGGAGUUCCUCAUAUCUUGUGAGCUCGAUCAGGAACACUACCUUCAAAGUUGUGGCAUUCUAGAAGCCCUUCAGAAUACUUUCUUCAGAAACCUUAAAGGAUACAUGGAGGGUCGUUGUGUUUGUUUUAGGUCAAAAUAUGUUGAUGCACGUUGAAGAUUUGGUCCCAACAGUUGAACAACACACUUUUAUCGAGCAUUUCUCCAUGCAUCUUGCUCAACCAAUUUGAUAAAUUAGUAAGCAUGGAAUUACGUAGCAUAUGAUUUAAAUCGGCUCUACCAAGCCUAUCAAACGUUACGUAACUCCGAGCUCAUUACCCUAUCAAAACAAUAUGCCCGAGUUAGUGCAGAUAUAAAAAGAGCCCAAUCCGUCAGCCUUUCUAUUUAUCACUCUUCUCCAAUAUAGAUGAAAAGAUAUCUGCUAUGCAAAAGUCUACACCAUCGCCAGACAUGCUUGCCUGGGAGCAAUUCUUCAGAAGACAUCAACAGAUAUCUUCAAAAGAAUUGCUCCCAGGCAAACUUGUCUGGCGACGGUAUAGACUUUUGUAUAGCAGAUAUCUUGUCAUCUAUAUUGGAGAAGAGCGAUCAGCAGAAAGGCUGAGAGAUUGAGUUCAUUCGAUUUGUGCACUAACUCGAUCAUAUUUUUUUGAUAGAGUAAUGAUCUUAGAGUUACGUAAUAUUUGAUAGGCUUGGUAGAGCCGAUUUAGAUCACACGCUACGUAACUCCAUGCUUACUAAUUUAUCAAAUUGGUUAAGAAAGAUGCAUGGAGCAGUGUGUUGUUCAACUGUUGGGACCACAUCUUCAAUGUGCAUCAACACAUUUUGACCUAAAACAAACACAGAGACCCUUUAUGUAUCCUUUAAGGCUUCAGAAGAAAGUGUUCUGAAGGGCUUCUAGAAUCCUACAACUUUGAAGGUAGUGUUCCUGAUCGAGCUCACAAGAGAUGAUGAACUCCUUAACAACUUUGAAGACAGCAACGACCAUCUUGAAUACAAAAUCAACAAGCUAGAGGCAAACUUGAAAAUUAUCGAAAUUCACAUACUAUGGCAAGCAUCUGAUCUUCUCCCAGGAAUGUUGAAAGUAUGUCAAGGCAAGAAAACACAAUCAAUUAUAACCAUAUUGCUAAGGAAGAAAUGAUACUCUAUUUGCUUUUCAAUCUCAUUUGUGGUUCCGAUCAGGUCAACGACAGUGGACCUGAUAGAAAACACAAACAAGAAAGCAUGGGAUGAAAUUUAAAAUUUAGAAAUUUGUCGCCUUCACUUAGAUUUCUUAUUUUAACUGCAGUUGUUGUUGGCAUAAGAUUUCUAGACUUGUUGUACAUCAUUUAUACCCUCGAUGCCUGUGAGACUUCUUUGUUGGUCUUCUCCUAUUUUCUAUCUAGGUGAUAAUCCCAACCACGCAGCUCCCUAGCAAAGUGUUCAGAUGCAUUGUUUUUCUUUAAGAGAAACAACAGAUGAAAUUACAUUACUGGAUACACUUUUAUAUUUGCACUUGAUUUAAAUCUCGCAUCUGUUAAGAUAAUUCCACUGACCAAAUUCGUUAGAAGUUGUAUCUACCCUAUGUAUUUUCUUCAAUUAGCUCUCAGAUGAUAUAAUCUUCCAUCAACCACCCAUUUUCCUUCGAAAGCAUUCUCCUACUGUACAUCUGGUAUAUAAUCAUCACCCCAAGCGAGCAACCCAGCCAUAUAAAUUUUGGCUAGGGCAAUAACUAUACUGGUUUUAAGUUCUUGUUAGAUGCACUGCUAAGCUAUGAAGGCCCUCUAAGGGUCCAAUGCACCCUAAAAGUUAGUCCAAUCGCUAUUGAAUCUCGUUACAAUAACACAAAAACUAGAUCCCUUCACAAUACUUGACAAAUAAACAUGAGCAACAAUCGACAUUAAAUCUUAACAGGCUAUCAAAACUAUAUUCAUGGUCUCUCAUCCUUAUCAAUUUGGACCUACCAAACUUAACUAUAAAAUUGCAGACAUCUUGUUUGAACGAUCUAUGACUAAUUAGUAAAAAUAUCAUUCACAAAAUCAGUGCAUUCUGUGUGUGUUUCCACGAUAACAUUAUCAGUAAUACAUACCUCCCACAUAUAAAGUGUUUCAUCUGCAAGCAGCUUAUUCCUCCGAUCCCAUCUUUACUGCAGCCUCUUGCGAUAGUCCGUCAAAAGUUGAUCAACUAUCAAUUCCUUAUAUCUACAAAGAAGAGGAAAAAAAUUGAUGUCACAAAAAGAAUAUUAUCCAUCUGUUGCAACAGAUGUGGAGUCUGAUGGAAUACAUCAAACCAUCCUUUCUGGUGGUUUUAUUUGUUCCAACAGAACAAAAAAGAUACAACAAUAUUUGUUCCAACAAUAUCAUCAACAACAAAGAAGCAAUAUCCUUUGUUCUAGAAUCAUCAAUAACACCACACCACAAGUUCUAACAAUUCCAACCCCACCAACAACAUCAAUAACUGCAUCAACAAUAAUAAAACAAACAAAAUACAUACAAAAAAAUGAUACUGCCAACAACGCUUUAAACUUCUUCAACAGAUGACUUUUUUCUCAUAUUGUAAUAAAAAUUCUCGGAUUAUUUAUUCAACACUUACAAGUUUCUUAAAUUUUUUUAAUAAAUAUGAUAUGGGUAAAUAGUAAUUAAAUAAAAAAAAGAUGUAAAUAACUUGUAAAGAAGAAGAUGAGAAUGAAAGAGCAAUAAUGAACCAUACCUUAAUAUCAAAAAGGGGAUCAAAACAGAAAUUCAGGUCGAGAAAAGAUAUGGAUGGGUUUAGAUCCGAAAAGAUCUUUAUGAGAAGAUAAGAUAAAAGAGAGAAAAAAGGUUGUGAUCCUAAAGAGGAGAGAGAAAAAAAUGAGAGUUGAAUAAAAUAAACUGCAGCUAAAGAAAGCGAUGAAAUAAUUUCUAUAAAUGUAUUGUGUACGUAGACGUGGUGAUUUUCAAUAUUCAUUAAUUUCAUUAAUAAUUUGAGGGGAACGAGGAAGACUAAGACUACUGACAUUGAAAAGACAAGACAAGACUGCUCAAUGAACUCACUUUUGAGAUAUCCAAGAAAUAUUUUUUACCGCCUUUAGUAGUAAGUACACUACUUGAUAUUAUCUACUCAGACCAGAAGCUUCUUGCUUUAAAAUUAAAAGAGCAAAAAAGAUUUUCAAACAUAUAUGUCAUCUGUUGCAACAUAUAUAAAUAUCUGUUUAAAAAUCUAAACAGCUCAGUCAUCUGUUAGAACAGAUAUAAAUAUCUGUUUAAAAAUCUCAAUAGCUUAGUCAUCUGUGACAACAUAUGAAAAUGUUCAUUUGAUAAUUAAUAAAAUCAGAUAUGUCAUCUGUUACAAAAGAUAUAAAUAUUUGUUUAAAAAUUUCCAAUAGCUCAGUUAUCUGUCACAACAGAUGCAAAUAUUUAUUUGAUAAUUAAAUCAGAUAUGUCAUCUGUUGCAACAUAUAUGUACCUGUUUGAAAAUUUUCAACAUCUUAGUCGUUUGUUGCAAUAGAUUUUAUUACAAUUGAUUUAGGUAGAACUAGGGAUGAAUGAAUGAGCUCGCAGGGUCAACUACAAAUUCAAUCGAGUCUUUGCAAUUGUAUGGCGUUAAUAUUACGUUUAUCCCGACCCAAGUCAUCAAUCGAUCACUCUGAUUUGAAAUGAGUUCUCAUCAACUCAAUGUUAGGAUAGUGAUAGUACCUAAGUUGAUUGUAACACCCCGUACUUAAUUACGUGCAUUAGCCACUUCUAUAUGUAUUGGAGUAUAUGUAUUGAUCCUAAGUUAGGUAUAUAUGAGUUUAAGUAUGAGUAUUGAUUAUUUUGAGAUGGUUUCAAGUGUAUAGUUUGAUUAUAUGUGUAUAGGAAUCGACUUUAUUUAUACCAAAAUUUGCCCGUCGAUGGUUCCAUACGAAGGUUAUUGAAUAAGCUUUCCAACGAUAUAAAGAUUUCCAAAAACGGAUAAGUUUCGGAUAUAAUCGAGCACGUUCGAAACUAUAAAACGGUGGCCGGGAUGUUGUGAACAGUAAAUGUGCAGGAAAAUUUCCUGCACACAAACUACUGAGGCCUGCCAGUUUUUUGGGUCAACUUUGAACGAUCAUAACUCCCUAAAUAUAAUGAACUGGGAGAGCUACCACCUAUCAAAAGAAAGAUAUUUGAGUAUUAUUUCCAAUGCAAUUGGUUUCAUCCAAAUCCAACAUCUAAUUAAGGAGUUAUACUUGUUUUACUUCAGCCUCUCAAAAUAGUUUUUUAGGGUCAACUUCAAACGACCAUAACUCCUUGUACAAGAAUAACUGGGUGGCCUACUUUAUAUUAAAAGAAAUCCCUUUGAAUUAUCUUUCCAACGAUACCAAUUUCACCCAAAUCCGAUAUUGGAGCAAAGAGUUAUGGCCGAUUUACUUUAGCCUAUCAAAACAGUCCACCAUGGACAGUUUCGGAUUUCCUAAAAUUUUAACAGGACGAACUGGGUGGAUUAAUUUAUAUUAAAUGAAAGACCUUUGAAUUAUCUUUCUAACGAUACCAAUUUCACCCAAAUCCGAUAUCGGAGCAAAGAGUUAUGGCCGAUUUACUUUAGCCUAUCAAAACAGUCCACCAUGGACAGAUUCGGAUUUACUUAAAUUUUUAAGGGCAAUAUGGUCAUUUUCCAUCACCUCUUGAACGAAAAUUGGUCAUUAUAUACAUAUACUUAGCCUCAUAUCCAUUAUUUAUCAUCCAUUAUUGAAAACUAAGAAACCCUAGCCAAAUUUCAACUCCAAUUAUCUUGUGAUUCAACCGUAGAAAAUCCAAAUUGAUUCCGUAGUUGUGUUCACCGUCUCAAGGGCUUCGAGAAGCACCCCUUAUUUGUGCCAACAGGACUUCGAAAUCAAAAGGGCCAUUUUUUUGGUAAGGAUGUAAAUUAUGUUGGUGUUAUUUAUAUGGAUAUGUAUAUAUAUAUAUGCAUGUGAGCAUAAGAAGUAUGUUAUUUGAUUGUUGUUGAAAGAUGAUUGGAAAUGAUGUUGGAUUAUUCUUGUGCAUGGUUGGAUUAUGUUAAAUUGUGAAGGAAUUUGGGGUGAUGAUGUGGUAUUGAUGAUGUGGUAUUGAAAUGAUGAUUAUAUAUAUAUACACACAUAAACCUAUUGUUCAAGUUGGUUUUUGGAAUGUUUUGCAAAUAUUGGUAGUAUGGAAUUAUGGAAGAGAAUUGUGGUGUUGGGUUGCUAAUACUAGAUGCCAAACAUUUCAUUGUAGAUAAGUGAUUUGUAAAGGCGGGAAGUUGUGUUGAAUUGGUAUCCGAAUCUACAACGAGGUAUGUAAAGCAUACUCUAACAAUGUUCUUUGGCAUGAAAACACCAAUGUUCCAUCAAGUAAGAUUCCGAGGUUGUCCAAAAACAUGUAUUGUUCUACGUUACCAACGAAGUUGUUUCCAUUCUAUAAAGUGUCAAAAUGUUUCAUUGAUAUACCAAAAGGCUCUUAUUUCAUUGUUGUGAUAUUGAUGAUUCUGAAACACAUUGUUGAUGUACCAAUGAGUCUUUAUUACAUCGUUAUUGUAUAGAAGGUCUAUUACUUGGUUCCUAUUGAUGUAUCAUUGUUUCAAAGUAUCAAAAAUGUGGUGGCGACCGAAAUAACAAUCUCAAAGAUUAAUUGAACUAAGUGAUGGAAGUUCUCUCUUAUCGGGUGGUAUCCCAGGGGCAUAAGCCUAGCAUGGGUCGAUCCCUAUUUAUGUGUUUAUGGGUGGUAUCCCAGGGGCAUAAGCCUAGCAUGGGUCGAUCCCAGUUGAUAUGUACUGGAGGCAUCCUAAUGGUCACAGUACAGUACAGUAAUGAUUACAAAGACGAUAAGAACGAAGGUAAAGUGAUUGAAUAAAUACAAUGUACAGGUUGUCACAAGUUCUAGUAAGUGUGGUCCACUCCUAUUACGACUUAUUCACUUGUUUCUGAUUUCUAUUGAGCUCUUAUAUCAUAUGUGAUUAUCUACAGCUUUACAUACUCAGUACAUAUUUCGUACUGACGUCCCCCACGGGGACCUGCAUUUCAUGCUGCAGGCACAGGUACCUCAGCUCAUUCACAGCAUAGAUAGGAGCCAGGUCAUACAGCUAUUGUUGGUGAGCUCCAGUUUGCUUCAGAGCUUUUUGAGUCGGUUCCUUAUGUUUUGUUAUGGUACAGGAGUCAUGUGUAGGCGGGGGGUUUGUCCCGACCCUAGUUAUGUCAUGUAUAUCCUAGAGGCUUUGUAGACAUAAGGAAGGGUAAAGUCAUGGAAGUUUAUAUAGUAACGUUAUAUUUGUAUAUGUGGUGGCCCCGACGGCCAAGUAUUAUAUAUAUAUAUUUGUGCGUGUUGUGCUGAUACAGGUAAUUAGACCUUUCUAUAUGCAACGAAGUGCUGUCCAAUUUUUUUGGUGACAUGUAAGUGAAAGUACAGGUAUUUGAACGGGUUCUCCCGGGCCUUCUCGGCUUCGGGUGCCAGUCCGGCCCGAUGGGAUUUUGGGGCGUGACACAAGUGAUCAAAAAUCCACUAUGGUAUGAUGACACAUUUUUUAAAGACAAAACUCUCUUCUUAAAAGAUGAUAGUUUGUCAAUUGGAGGGGUUAGUGGUCCAAAAGAAGGGGGUGUAUGUUCUCCAAUUGAGUCAUCGAUCGAUCACUCUGAGUUGAAAUAAGUUCUCAUCAACUCAAUGUUAGGAUAGUGAUAGUACCUAAGUUGAUUUAGGUAGAACUAGGGAUAAAUGAAUGAGCUCAUAGGGUCAACUACAAAUCCACUCGAGUCUUUGUAAUUGCAUGGUGUUGGUAUUGCAUUCAUCCCGACCCGAGUCGUCGAUCAAUCACUCUGAGUUGAAAUGAGUUCUCAUCAACUCAAUGUUUUAAAAACCAUAUCUUUUAAAAAUUUUAAAAUUAAUUAAGAUCAAUUCGGACCAAAUUAGCAAUUUCAAAACUUGUCAUUCUUUUCCAAAAUUACAAAUCAACCCAUACAAAUCAUCCAUUUACGCGAAAAACUUUUCAUUUUAAAUCUUAAGUUCUCGCUCUUCUCUCUCUCUCUCUCGGGUGUCCUCUCCCUCUCAACAAUACAAACAAUAACUACUCAACAUAUUGCUCAACCCUUCAAAACAGGUCGAUUUUCUUCCCAUUUACGACUACAUAUAGUUGUUUUUUUCGACUCCAUUCCCGCUUGUUUCCGUUGUUUUCUCUAUCUUCGCAUGUAACGAAGUUCGAGAAGAUUUCUACAUUUGUUCUUUAUUCUAAAAAAUAGGGCUUUUUAGUUAAUGAUAAAAAAGAAUACUUUUAGUUGUAUUAUCUUUGAGAAUGGGUUAACAAUUUUGAGUUUUAAUGCUAAAAAAAUAGGAAGCACCCGAAAAAACCUUAGUUUUUAUCUCAGUAUUUUGUUGACUGUCGUGGUAUUAUUGGAUGGUGUUUUUGGUGUUGUUGGUGGUGUUGGUAUUUGUGUUUUUAAGCGAUGGUUUCGGUGGUCUGGGUGUUGGUAUUGGUCUUGGUGGCAUUGGUUGUGGUGGUGGUGGUCCAUCUGUUGCAGCGGAUGAAAGAUCUGUUGGGAGAUAUUAAAUAGGUCUUCAAACAGAUUCCCCAUCUGUUCCAACUGAUGGGUUUAUCCGUUGGAGUAUUUUCUUGUAAUGUGGCAUAGAAUAAUUUAUUGAAAUUUCUACACCUGUUACAACAGGUGGAAUAUUUGUGAUGAGAUAUUAAAUAGGUCUUCAAACAGAUUCGGGUUCCUUAUCUGUUCCAACUGAUGGGUUGUCCGUUGGAGUAUAUUUUUUUGUUAUGGGGUAAGAAUAAUUUAUUAAAAUUUGUCUCACCUUUUUAAAAAAAAUUAUGCAGACAUCAAAUGCAAUGUAUUUUUUGUUUUUCUUUUGUUUAUAGUUAAAAGAUGUUUCCUAAAAGAAAAUAAACUGAAAGUAGAGAAAGUGGAUCAACUUUCGAUCACCAAACAAAAAAGGCUAGAGUACAGAUAGAUUCGGAAAAACUUCCAGAACAAUCUCAAUCAGGGCAAAAUGAAGUCGAGGAAAGUGAUAACUCCUCCUCACUAAUGAGGCGUGAAAUAAUAUUGAAAUUCCAGCAUGAUUCUGUCAAAACCAUUAGUAUUGACAAGUUUCGAGUUGCGAUGCCGAUGAAUAACCCUAAUGCAGUAUUUGGUGAUCUUGUACUUAAAUGUCAGUUGAGGAAAUCUUUUGACGAACUUAGGACUAUUAUGAAGAAGGAAAACAUAGAUGGACCUUUUAAGAAGAGCUGCUUUGCACACUUUCUUAAGCUAUCUGGGGCCCACCCUCUCCGUUUCCUGAUGAUCAUAGUAUAUGGCCUUCUCAAGCAUAGGAUCUUGUAUGCGGAGGAUGAUAGAGGUCCGAAGGAGGGUGGAAAUAAGAUGGAUAAAGUCUUGAUCAACUACAGUGGCAUUCCGUUUUGUUUUAGAUUGAAAGAGUUUGCCAUUGUGACGGGCUUGAGAUGCGGUCGUCCAGAAGAACCUGCCAUCAAGAAAACACUCCACAAAGGGUCCAACAAACGUAAGGUAAAAAAAGAUAGGUUGUUGGGCAUUGUUGUACCUAGCUACAACGUGAAGGAUUUGAUAGCGGAUCUCAAGAAUAAAGACAUACCAAAGCACUACAGGGAGAAAUUGUGCUUAGUUUGGUUUGUCCAUUUCAUUUUAUUGGCAAGAGAUGUCAAAAAAGUCAUAGAACAUGAUUUUUUGGCGCUUGCUGAUGAUUUUGGAAAAUUAAACAAUUAUACCUAGGGCUACAACAGCUACUACUUGACUGUCAAAUAUUUACUGAAAGAGCUAAAGCCAAAGACGACCACAUUAUACGGCUUUCCUUGGGCUUUCAUGGUAAAAUUGAUCAUUAUUUUUACUCAUUCAUUAAUUUAUAUUGAAUAUACUUGUGACUUUUUUUUGCUUGCUUCCUGUUUACAAUUUUUAGGCUUGGGCAUGUGAAGUCAUUCCUCCCCUCCGAAAGCACUUCACGAAUUACCCGAAUAAGGUUUAUCAUCCAAGGAUCCUUAGGUGGUUGGCUGCAGUAGAGAGCAGCAAAAAAAAUAUUAACGAGGCUAAUCUCUUUAACCCUUCGAAUGAUGCAGUACAUCUUCUUUCAAAUAAAAUAAUUUGCCUCAGAAAAAGAAAUUGAAACAGAUUUUCAUCUGUUGCAACAGAUUACCUGUCAACUGCAACUGGUACAACAAAUGGGUAAUCUGUUGCAACAGAUGAUACAUAUUUCGCAACAGAUUAACCAUAUAUUGCUCUGUUCUCUGAACCCUACUCAACAGAUUACCCAUCUACUGUAAAUUAUGCAACAGAUGGGUAUUCUGAUGCAAUAUAUUAUCAAUCUAUUUCAACAUACAGAUCAGCUGUAGCGGUAGCUAGAUCAUCUGUUACAUAAGUUGGUUGUGUUAACAUAACCCGAGCCCCAUGUAACCCAACUGACUGCAAAUUGUUAUUAUAUGAUUUAAAUUCCUCCUGUCAUUUUUUUAUAGGUUGUGCAUCCUUGGAUCGUGCCUACCGUUGAUAGGCUGGGGAUGACUUUUUUUCUUACUCUGCGUCUUGUUGAUACAAAAGAAGACCCAACGGUGAAGUUAAUAAAGAAGAAAUUGUAUAAAGCAACAUCCAUAAGAAGAGAAGUUAGGGAAGGUCAGUCUAAUCUUGAAGCUCUUCACGACCAAACUCAAACUACAACAGAUCUGGGUGCUUCUUUUGGGGUGUUGCUGGUGGAGUUGUUUGUGAUGGUGGCAGCCAUCCUGCUGCUAUUUCUACUGUCUUUCAUGAUUAUGAGCAUGUUGGUGCUCAGCGAAAAAUAAAUAUGUUUGAAAACACCCCUUGCAUAGGUCCUUCCUCUCACCCUUACACCGGUCCCUCUCACCUCUCCCCACCCUCAUUUCUCAUUGCAAAUGCAAAGUGUGCAAAGACAGAGAGGAUAAACUCCUCGACAAGCUAGAGGCUAUUGCUGAAGCUGCUGAGGAGUUAAAAUCCAGGAGGGGUGUCAUACCAUCCAACGAGGUGAGAGAUCCAUGCACUCCUACAGUGGAGGUUAGGAGGAAGAGAAGAAAAAUUAGAUAAAUUCUCUCCGUUCUAAAAUCAGCAAAAAUUACAACUCUUCUUGCUCCAAUAGUUGUUAAAGUUCAGGGGGACCCGAAGAAGGUGUACAUAUUCGUGGCGCUUGGCAAGGAGAAGAAGAAGGAACUAGAAGAAUUCAUCAAUAAGAAGGUUCAAAAAGAAUACACCAUGCAUUCAUUUGCCGCCAAAGACUUCUCGAAUAUGACAAAUAUGUGCGUUUAGUACGAGGACAAGGUAAGUUUACUUUUGCUAACCUACCCUUCCAAUCUACUCCAUGAAGAAGAAUCUACACAGCAGAUGUGUAAUCUGUUGCAAAAAUAUGGUAUUCUGUUGCAACAUAAUACACAUCUGUUGCAUAAGUUGCGUUGGCUAGGUAAUCUGUGAACUGAUUCAGAGGACCCUCUGCAUCGGAUUCUUUUGGCUGUGUUUUUAUUCUUUACAAUUACUAACCUAUUUAAAAAUUAUCUUCUUAUACCACAGUAUGUUGAUAAAAUUCCCUGCCUCAUGAGGGGUAGAUAAUUAGUGUACUCGGAUGUUUAUGAUGCUGUCGAUAGGAUAAUGGACCUCAACUUCUACAACAAUUUCAAGGAUAAGUACGCUAAACUCUAUAAGAUAGCUGAUUCCAGUGGCCCUGGAUUUUAUCAGUUAGUUUCUACGUUCCAAUGGGAUGAAAAAACAAUUAAAUAUGUUAGAGGGAAGAGGCCAUAUCCACACGGCAAGAGCUAUACCAAGGCAAAGAGAAUCCUUGCUGUCAUGAACGUGGAUGUCACCCAUUUUCUCACUGUUGAGAUACUACUAUACGAGGGAAAGAUUAAGGUUUAUGACUGCAACUUACCUGUGUUCAGCGAGAAGAAGUUUUUAACCCACAUGCAGCCACUCUUGAAGUUGUUGCCCAAGUUGUUGACACAGAGUAAGUUGAUGGAUCAUUUACCGGAUUAAGUCUUGGCGAAGGAAUCAUGGGUUUUUGAAGGUCUAAAUAAGAACAUCCAGCUCCCAAAAAAUACAACCGAUGCAGCGUGCGGGCCAUACUCGUCUACAUACAUCGAGUCUUUGCUGAUCGGCACACUAAUGACUGGUGUGUGCAACACUGUUGUGGGAAAGAUGCAAUGGGUCUGGGCAUAUGGGGUACUAACUAAAUGGUUGGAGCCCAUGUAUAAAAAAGAACAUAUACAAAGAUAAUGACGAACACGAUAACAAAUUUUCAUUUCAAGCCAAUUUACUAUACAUGUAGGAGCAAUAAUUUUUAUGUUUGGCAAAGUUGAAUUUUUAUAAUGCAACAGAUUUUAUAUCUGUCGUAACAGAUAUAGUACCUAUUAUGAAAGAUUGAUUAUCUGUCGGAACAGGUUGGUCAUCUGUUGCGUUAUGCAGAUGUUCCCCAUCUGUCUGUCGCAAUAGAUUUACGACCUAUUGCAAUAUAUAACUUAUCUGUUGCAACUAAUCGGUAAUCUGUUGGAGCAAAUAAAAAAAGUAGAAAGACCUGUUAUAUAAUUUCCAGCAGGUGACCUACGUGUUGCAUCUCAUGUUGCAAUAUAUGUCUAAAUCUGUCUGAUAUGAUAUGUCGUCUGUUGCAGCAGAUGUAUUAUCUGUUGCGAUAUUUGAAUCUAGUACUCUGUUUCAAUUAACAUGUUCAAAACUCAGAAUUAAUUAUAUUCAUAUACAGAAUAAAAUAAAUCGAAGCCUUCCAAAAUUACAUGAAAUAACUCAACAAAUAAAUGAAAUGUAAAAAAAAUCAUUAUGGUUACAAACGAUCUACUCUACAAAUAAAUCAACAAGUUAAACCAAGGAUGAUAGGUUAUUACAUUGACGGACUCAAGAUAUAAAGAUCUAAUCAAUAUAGACAAGUUGUUCUUCAUCCAGUGCUAUGGAAUUCGGCUUUGGUUGUCGUGGAUCUUUAACAUUGGUUGCAUACGGCUUCUGAACUUUUGCUUCUCCAUAUUUCCAUAAAAAAACAUCAUAUCUUUUGCGGAUUAAUCCGGCAUCAAGUCCAUCAUUUGGUACUUGUAAUUUAUCGCUCAAAUACUCGACAUAGGCGGCAACAAAAGGACUGCAAUUCCUGCGUUAUAAAAAACCAGAUAAUCCAUAUCUUGCAGUUCAUGAAAGCGUUGUGAAAUUUGUGAAAUGAAACUAAAUCAUGAUACUUAAACUUAUAGGCUACCAAUGGUUUGUUGAGCAAUUCCGUCAACAUAUUAUACAUCAAAUGGAUUAGCCAUUUUAUUCUGGUGUGCUUCAAUCGUCGACCAAGCAGUUCGAACCUUUUGAUCCAAAAAGCCACUCAUAUCAAGGUAAGUAGGCAAUAUUUUGGCCAGCUUUUGUAUCUCAGACGACGGCUCGAAACGUCUCUUUCGCGACAUCGAGUCAUAAACUCGAAUGUGCUUCUUUUUUAAAACGACGACAACUAAUACCCAAUGGAAUUCAUCACCAUAAUUGAUUGGGAUGUACACUUCGUCGAUCAAAUGCCAAGGUAAGCCAGCCGAAAUGCUAAAACCUUUAAUGAUGUUGAUUAAGCAUUCCUUAUUUCGGAAAACUUUCGGCUGCUGUUGAUAAUACCUAUCGUAGGCAUUAUUGAUGUAAACUUUGUACAAACAAUUGCAUGUUGUGUAUCUGUAUUGUUCUUGUGUUUGCAACUUGGCCUUUUUUUGAAGGUAGUAAAAAAUGACAUCGAUGUGCUGCACAUAUUAUCAAAUAUUUUGAAUUACGUGACAAAAAAAUCAAAACGCAAAUGUAAUUAAAUAAAUUAUUAAUUAAUAGUAAUAUGUAUGGCAUUUAAACCUCAUAAUUCCACAAGUUUGGGGCUCUGACAUCAAAUAGAACCAAUUCUUCAUUUUGGGAUGUGCAACAACAAAGUCGAACAUAUUAAAACCAAGACUCGAUUCAUUCACUUUGCAGUACUCGUCAUUUUAUUUUCUACAUGAUGAUUUAUAUGUGUUAAUGUCAGGUUCUUACAACAAGAAUUGUAUAAACUAAUAUCCAUAAAAUUGAUUUAUGUACCUGCCGGUAUGAUGCUUUAACAGGCCAUCGGCAAUCCAUUCUGAAUAGUCGUUGAUCAACUGUGUUAGUUUUUUUGGAGCCUCAUCCGAGAUGUUGAACCCUUCAAACGAGUAAUUCUUCCGUUCUCCCAAACUGACAGGCUCCACUUUUUCUUCAUCUUUUGAAGCAGUUGAUGGAUUAUCAACUGUCAUAUUAUGCUCUUCGACAAUAACUGUGACAUCUACCUGAAAAGUCAGAAUUGUCAAUGCUAAAUAAAGAUAUACAACAGAUUUUUCAUUUGUUGUAAUAGAUGAGUCUUAUGUUGCAUCAGAUGGAUUAUCUGUUGGGAUAAAUUCGAAUAGGUAAAUCAGAGCAGUACGAUAAUUUUUAACAGAUGACCCAUCUGUUGCAACAUAAGACUCAUCUGUUAAAAUAGAUAACGAAUCUGAUGCAACAGGUUAGACAAUAGUUGCAACAGAAGUAUAUAUCUGUUUAAUAAUUUUCAGCAGAUGUAUCAUCUGUUAAAAUAGAUAUGUGCCUGUUUGUUUUUUGGAACAGAUAAUGUACAUUCACCUUCUUCAGCUAAUGUUGCUCUUCUGUGGCCCUUGCACACUGAACAUUGGUGCAAGAAAAAGACAGAGGCAUUGCAAUCUUGCCUUUUUUUAUGAUUGAUGAUGCCUUGGAAGUGUCUUUCCUUCUCCUCUUAGCUGCCUUGAUCUCUAGUGGAAUGUCUGGAUAUGAAAUCCUCUUUGAUGAAAUGACACCCCUCUUAGAUGUUAUUUCCUUUAUAGAAGUAGUUAGUGCAUUAAUAGCUUUAAUCACUCCAUCGUGUUUCGCCUUGCAGUUUUGACAUUUGCAUGAAGAACAUCGCUAGAUGCGGCAAAAUCUGGAGAAAAAUCUGUACAACUAUUAUGAUGAUAAUCAUAAAGGCUUGUUGUUUCAAAAAUUGUAAGAGGGACAUCAUUAGCCCCACCCUCCAAAAUUAUUUUUCUUGUGAUGGUUGUUGCUCCAAAUAAUUUCAUUUUUAUUCCAUCAAUGACCUUAAGGUCCGAUAAAGUUUGCACAGACCGUAAAGUAAGAAAAAAUGGCAUCUCCAACUCUCGGUUGGUCGGAACAAGCCAUGAAUGGACAAUAUAAAAUAAAUCGGUACAUACAUUAAGAAUAAUGAUGAAAUCAUUUAAUCAUUAAUUAAAAUAAAAACUUGAUUAGAAUUGGACUUACUCCUUCCUUGGGGGGAUUGAAAAGAUCAAGAAAUUUUGCAUUUUUAUCGAUUUUGGCCGACAACCAUCUCAAAAUUCUUGGACAGAAAACUUUUUUCUGGUAGUUCACUUAUUGUCUCAAAUAAGGAAUGGCUUCAAAUGCCCAAGCCUAUAACAUAACGCCAAUAAAUCAAAAGCAUUAUUGAAUAAAAAAAUGAUGAAUCAUAUCAUGAUAAAAGAAAUAUUUACCAUGAAGGCCAUGGAAAACCAUAUAAGUUGACUAUUUUUGGCAUUAACAGAGUCAUCAAAUAUUCGACAGUCAUUUUGAAGCUUUCAUAACCCCAAGGAUAGCUUUUAAAUGCCUCAAGAUCCUCGGAGAGAUUUAUUAAACCGAGGUUUAUGUUGUUGUUAACGUCUCUCGCCCAAAGAACAUUAUGUACAAACCAAACCAAGCACAAUGAUUGUUUGUGCUUAUUUGAAAGUCCUUUACCUUUCAAUGCUUCAAUCAGAUUUUUGUUUUUGAAGCUUGGACCAACAAUGGACACCAGGUCAUCAUGAUCACUCGACUUGCCUUUUUCUUUUUUGGGUGUGUGGGGUAUUUUUUUGGGUCAGAGUAGGUAUAACUUGAGAAGGAGAAGGAGGAUAAUAUUUUAAUCCGGUAACUAUGGCAAACUCCUCCCAACAAAAACAAACAGGUAUGCCACAGUAAUUUAUCCACACCUCAUCCAUCUUAUCUGUGUUUUCAUAUAUAAACCUGCACUUAAGAAGAUCAUAUACUAUUUUCAUCUGGAAACGAGCAUUGUUGUCCUCCGACAAAUCAAGAUAUUGCCCAAAGCAGCUUUCCCUGAAAUAAGAAUGCAAUUUUUGUUCUCGAAGUAUUUUUCUGAAGGCGUCGAAAGAUUUUCCCAUGACUGACUUAAUCACGAGAUCACCGGUUAAAUUAGUGGCACCAUCGCGCUGCAUUCUCACAGGAUAACGAUCAAUGCUGAAGGUUUUAACCAACUCUUCAGCGGAAGGGCUAUUAGCAUUUGGAUCAUCUCUUUUGAAAGAUUCCUCCUUCCCGUGUUCAUUAUCUUCUGCUCCUGGUUGAGAUAACGCUUGUAAAGCAAGCUCAUAGAGCGGUGGAUGUAGCUGAGUUGCUGCACUUGUUCCUUUACUUGGACUUGAUUCGAUUUCUUUUCUUUUGGGAGCCAUGUUAUCUUAAAUUAACAGGAACAUAACAUAGAUUAUUAUUGAUUAAUGCAUAACAGUAAUAUAACAAUUCCAACAAACAACUAAUUUGUUGCACCAGGUGUGUUAUCUAUUGCAACAGAUAACCGACCUAUUGCAAUGGAUGAGUAAACUGUUGGAAAGAAUAAAAACAGUCCUAAUCUGUUGCAAAAUGAAGAGUAAACUAUUAGAAAUAAUAAAAACAGAUCACUAAUCAGUUAUCUAUUGGAUCAAUAUUGUUUAGAUUUCUUUCAAACAGAAGAGUCAUCUGUCGUAACAGAUGAAUGAUCUGUUAGAUUGUUCAUCUGUUGCAUCAGAUUUUCAUAGUUGCAUCAGAUUUUUCAUCUGCUGCAUCAGAUUUUCAUCUGUUGCAUCAUAUGUUUCAUCUAUUACAUCAGAUGUUUCAACUAUUGCAAUACCAUUUCUACCAAGACAAACAACAAAUCAACCCAGUAACACCAAUACAUCACACAUACACACACACACUAAGAACAUCAACUAUGACAAAAAAUCACCAACAAAUUUGAAUCAACAGUACGACAACAAGAAGAAGAAAUGCAGAAAUAUCAGAAAUUAAGAUUUUAUUCAGUCCACAUUUCAAUACCAGAAGAGUAGUUGGCUCAAGUUCCUCUGUUUCUUCAUAAUUUUUUACCUGUGAAAAAAGGAAAUUUGAGGACGAAAAACUCAAAGUUGUUGUCGCCGGAGAAGUAUUCACGUCGAUUGACGAUUAAAAGUCGAAAAGAAACCCGCCCGACUAUUUGUCGUCAGAGGUUGAAGGGAGAAAUCUUUCAGAACUGUUGGUUGGGAGAGAGUUAAGAGAAGCUAGAGAGAGAGAAGAGAGUGGUUGAUUUGGAUUGAAGAGGGGUGUGGAUUGGGUUGAUUUGUAUUUUUGAAAAGAUUAGAAAGUUUUGAAAAUAUUAAUCAAGUCCAUAAUUAACUUAAUCAAGUAUUCUAAUGAUGUUUGACCCUAUCUGUUGGUCAAUGUCACUAAUCCUUCAUUCAAGACUUAAAAGACACCUUUCCUUCAAUUUUCUCAAGUUAGUUUAUGUAUUAUUAUAUUAAAAUUAUGUUUAAAAAUGUAUGUAUUUUGCUAUUUUUGGUUUAAAAAAAGAGUUAUGCUAUCAACUACUCCUUCCGUUUCGGAAUAAGUGAAUUGUUGGGAUAUUUAUUGGUGUUUCAAAAUAAGUGAAUCAUUGAAUUUUUUGUCAAGUUUGUCCUUAUGAUUUGACAACCAAUUAACUUUUAAAAAGGUAUUAUAAGGUCAACUUUUUCCUUUUUUGGGGUAAAAAUGGAAAGUUGUGUUAAAUUUAUGUCUUUAAUGCUUUUUUCUUAAUAUGUGUACCAAAAUCCAAUAAUUCAUUUAUUAUGAAACGGAGGGAGUACUGUAUAAGAAUAAGAAUAUACUAUAAUUGAUAAGUCUUACUCCCUUUGUUUAAAAAAGAAUGACCUACUUUGACUUGACACAAAGUUAAAAAAAAUAAAGAAGACUUUUGAAUUUUGUGGCUUUAAAUUAAAAUUGUGUCAAAUGUACCAAAAUGCCCUUUAAUCUUGUGGUCCUAAACAUGUCAUGUGGAAAAUUGAAAUUAAAGUAUUGCCAAAAAAGGGAAAGGGAUCAUUCUUUUUUAAACGAACUAAAAAGGAAAGUAGGUCAUUUUUUUUAAAAUGAAGGGAGUAUAUAUUUAUACUGUUUAUGUAAAUAUUCCUUACAUAUACACAUAUAUAUUUAAGACAGAACUUGUAAGGAGUUUUCAUUUAUAGGCCCAAUGGCUAAGAGAAUAAGAGAUAGAUGGAUUAAUGACUUGCCAAACUUUUGAAUUUUGAUAGCUUCCCCCUAAACUACUCCAUUGGGCCUAUAUCUGACCUUCAAAUGUUGGUAAACAGGUUUGGGAAAAGAAAAAAAAUAGUAGUAUUAAAUUAGACACUACUAAGUUGUGUAUACGAAUCAAAUUGCACAUGUGAUAUACACGUUAAAAGUGCCAUUUUGUUGUUGUACUUAAAAUAAUUUCUUUUUCUCGAUAAUAAUUAUUGAUAUACAUCACUUAACAAACAUGUAUUCAAAGACAAUACAAGAUGAGGCCAUAGAGUUCUCCUCAAAACAAACUCUCCAUGCUUUUGUAUUUACAAUUUGGUAAAAGGAAUAUUUAUUUAUAAAAAUAUCCUUUACAUAUGAUGGAAAGGAUGUGGAAAAUAUUUUGAGCGACAAUUGUGUUUUUAAUCAUGCUAAUGCAUGCAUUAGGAUCCAUUGCAUUAAUAAUACCAUGGGUUUCCAUGUUUUAGUAAUACACACCUUAGUAUCAAAUAGAAUGUAUCAAAAGUGUAUCAAACAAGGUAAUAGUAGUACAUAAAGCUAAAAUACAUACUAAAACCAGGAUUGCAUGCCAUAGAUCCAAAUAUGGGUCACUUUAGAUAUUUGAUCCCAAUAAAAAUGUCCUUAAAGAAUAAUUUUCCUUACUUUUUAAGUAUAGUACAAGUACCAUUUUGCCCCUUUACACCUCAAAUAUAUUUUUUAAACUCUACAUACUUAUUUGUCUCUCAAAUUUUAUUUUUUAUUAUUUUCACUUUUUAUUUUUUCUUUAAUUUUAUUAUUCUAUUUUUUAUUAUUUUCACUUUUUUAUUUUUUUCUUUAAUUUUAUUAUUUUAUUUUUUAUUAUUUUCAAUUUUUAUUUUUUCCUUUAAUUUUAUUUUCAUGUUUUUAAUUCAUUUGUCUCAACCUUUAUUUUUUUCUCUUUUUUCUUUUUUAUCAAGCAUUAUCUAUUUCUUUUUUUUUCCUUUUUUUAAUUCAUUUGUCUUUAAACUUUAUUUUUUUCUUUUCUUUUUUAUUUUUAUUAGUUCUUUUUUUUUCCCCUCAUUUUUUUCAAACUUUAUUUUUAUUUUUUCCUCCCAUUUUUUAUUUUUUCAAUUUUUUUAAUUCUUCGCUUUUUUCUUAAUCUUUAUUUUUUUCUUGCCUUUUUUUCUCACUCUUUUUUUUAAAAAAAAAAAUUUCUAUUUUGUUUGAUCGUUUUUUUCUUUUUUUCCCCUCAUUUUUCUCAAACUUUAUUUUUAUUUUUAUCAAUUUUUUAAAUUCUUUGCUUUUUUCUUUUCUUUUUUUCUCAAUCUUUUUUUUUAUUUCUCUGUUUUGUUUGAUCGCUUUUUUUUUCUCAACUUCUAUUAUAUUUUGCUAAUAAAUAAAAAAUUGGAUAAUCCGCCAAGAUAUCUUCUUUUUUUUACAUCAAAGCAAAUUUAAGGGCAUGAAUUAUUGUUACGAAGUUCUUUAAAAAUUCUUGAGAGAAGUUGAGUCUCUAAGGCGAGAGUUGUAGAAUAUCUCAUAAAUAAAGACACUAUGUGGUAGUGUCAACUCUUAUCCGUGGGGCAUAAUUUAUUAUUUAAAAGUCCUUGAAAUAAGUCUUUCCUCUAAGGCAAGAGUUGUAGAACAUCCUAUAAAUGAAGACAUAACGUGGUAGUGUCAACUAAUGCCCGUGGGGCAUAAUUUGUAGUUUGAAAGUCUUUGAGCUAAGUCUUGCCUCUAAGGCAAGAGUUGUAGAACAUCUCAUAAAUGAAGACAUAAUGUGGUAGUGUCAACUCAUGCCCGUGGAGCAUAAUUUAUAAUUUGAAAGUCCUUGAGCUAAGUAUUGCCUCUAAGGCAAUGGUUGUAGAACAUCUCAUAAAUGAAAACAUACGUGGUAGAGUCAACUCUUGCCCGUGGGGCAUAGGCAUAAUUUAUAGUUUGAAAGUCCUAGAGCUAAUUAAGUCUUGCAUCUAAGACAACAGUUGUAGAACAUCUUAUAAAUGAAAACAUAACGUGGUAGUGUCAACUCUUGCCUGUGGAGCAUAAUUUAUAGUUUGAAAGUCCUUGAGCCAAGUCUUGCCCCUAAGGCAAUAGUUGUAGAACAUCUCAUAAAUGAAAACAUAACAUGAUAGAGUCAACUCUUGCCCUUGGGACAUAAUUUAUAGUUUGAAAGUCUUUGAGCUAAUUAAGUUUUGCCCCCAAGGCAAUAGUUGCAGAACAUCUCAUAAAUAAUAAUAUAACAUAGUAAAGUCAACUCUUGCCCGUGGUCAUAAUUUGUAGAUUGAAAGUCCUUGAGCCAAAUCUUGCCUCUAAGGCAAUAGUUGUAGAAUAUCUCAUAAAUGAAAAUAUAACGUGGUAGAGUUAACUCUUGUCCGUGGAGCAUAAUUUAUAAUUUGAAAGUCCUUGAGUUAAGUCUUGCAUCUAAGGCAAGAGUUGUAGAACAUCUCAUAAAUGAAAAUAUAACGUGGUAGAGUUAACUCUUGCCCGUAGGGCAUAAUUUAUAGUUUGAAAGUCCUUGAGUUAAGUCUUGUCUCUAAGGCAAAAGUUGUAGAACAUCUCAUAAAUAAAACAUAAUGUGGUAGAGUCAACUCUUGCCUGUGGGGCAUAAUUUAUUGUUUGAAAGUCCUUGAGCUAAGUCUUGCCUCUAAGGCAAUAGUUGUAGAACAUCUUAUAAAUAAAAAUAUAAUGUGGUAAAGUCAACUCUUGCACGUGGAGCAUAAUUUGUUAUUUAAAAGUCCUUGAGCUAAGUCUUGCCUCUAAGGCAAUAGUUGUAGAACAUCUCAUAAAUGAAAACAUAACGCGGUACAGUUAACUCUUACCCGUGGGGCAUAGUUUGUUGUUUGAAAGUCCCUGAGCUAAGUCUUGCCUCUAAGAGAAAAGUUAUAGAACAUCUCAUAAAUAAAAAUACAAUCUGGUAGUGUCGACUCUUGCCCAUGAAACAUAACUUGUUGUUUGAAAGUCAUAAGUCUUGCCUCUACAAUGUAGUAGUAUCAACGCUUGCCCAUGAAAUGUAGCUUAUUGUUCGAAAGUCGUAAGUCAUGUCUUUAUAAUGUGAUAGUGUCAACUCUUGCUCAUGAGAUGUAACUUGAAUGGAAGAAAUCGAAGAAAAGAAGAAAAAUACUAAAAAUCGCAAAAAAAGAAGAAGAUGAAGAAAAGUAUUAAAAAAACAAAAAUCAAAGAAAAUAUAGAAGUUGAGAGAGAAUAGAAAAAAAAAAGGUUGAUAAAAAAAAGAUUAAAUAAAAAUAAAGGUCGAGAAAAAUCAAAGAUUUUUUUUUUUAAUAAAAGUAGACGUUGAAAGGUGUAAAGAAAAAAAAGUAAGGGUUGAGAAAAAAAAAAAAAAAAAAAAAAAAAAAAAAAGGAAAGAAAAAAUAUAAAAGAAAAAAAGUAAGGGUUGAGAAAAUUAAAAAUAAAAAUCAACGUAAAAUUAAAAAGAGAAAAAAAUAAAAGUUGAAAGAUAUAAAUAUGGAGCUGUUAUCCAUUAUGAAGAUCAUUUAUGUAAUUAUUUCAUUGAUCAGGGAUAAUUUUAUCCAAAAAAAUAUUAUUUAAUAAGUAAAGACUAUUUUAAAGAAGUUUUUUUAUUAAAGACUAAAAUUUAAAAGUCACCCCAAUUUGAAUCUAUUUUUGAGAUUGACCCCUAUUAAACGACCCUUACUUAACUUGAAAAAGGGUCAAAUAGGCCUCAUCGUAGGCGCACACAAUUAUAAAUGAGAGUUGUAUGAAUUAUGUCAAAUUUCGUGUCUAUUACGUACUAGUAAAAAUGAAUGGACGAGUAGGAAUUUCCUGGCCAUUGAAUUUUAGUCUUCUUAAACGCAAUUAAAAGGUACUCUCUCUGUUUUCAAUUACUUAUCACUUAUUUUCUAAUUAAGUUUCCACUUUUACUUGUCAUUUAAAACAUAUCAAGAAAAGAAUUUUUUUUUUUCUAUUUUACACUUAGUAUUAAUUUUUUAUACUCCAAAUUAAUUUUUAACCAUCAAUUAAUAAGGAUACUAUGAUAAAAUAAUUAUUUUUAUAAUAGAUUUGCUAAGUUAAAAUGUGACAAGUAAAAGUAAAUGGAGAGAAUAUAUAUUAAGAGAAAUUGUUUUAAGUAAGAUACAGUAAUAUUUUAAUUAACGAAUUCAAUCGAAUAACAAGACUUAAUUCUUCUUAAAUACUGAUAUUGAUUUUAAAUAAAUUUAAAAAAUUUGGUAAUAAAAGAAUCUUUUCAAGCUUAAGAAAAUGAAAAAAUCUUGCCUAAGAGAAUCAACAAUGCCUCAACAAAGAUUAAAUUGAUUGAUUAUAUGGUCAAUUGGAAAAGAAUUUAGUACUCCCACCAGAAGAGAUUGACUAUAACCAAAAUAACUAAAUGAAUAAAUUUUGUAUCUCAAAAAGAAUGAAGACAAAGAUUAGUGAAAUAGAAUUAGAGUGGUGUUUUAUUAAUAUUUAGAUUUAGGCAAUUAGCUAGCUCCAUUAUUGAGCUGCACCUAACUAAAACUAGCACUGCCACUCAUACAGGCUGUGAUAGAGUGGUAAGUACUUCUUCACAUCUAAUUAGAGGUCUCGGAUUUGGUAAUGCACUAUAUAAGUAUUUGAACGGGACAACAAUUGCUACUUCACAGAUAGGCUGGUUGAUAUUGGUAUCCAACUCAAAAUCCAGGUGAUUUUGUAUAUUUGCAAAUACAAUACAUUAGUUUUCCAUUUCCAAUACUUGCAACCUGAUAAUAUCAUGUAUAAAUAUUUACAGUACGAAUUUAAUCCCGUUAAUUGCUUCACGUCUAUCCCAGUUCCGUGAACAUUCUCCAUCAAUGGAUUCUAGCUACAUUGACCUGCAGUUUCUUCAGGGCAAAACCAUUUUCAUCACUGGAGUAACGGGCUACCUAGCAAAGAGUACUUUCUCUCUCUCUCUCUCUCUGAUAGUACUUUGUGAAUAAUAUUAGUAUUGCUACUGCUCCUAUGUAAAUUCUUGCGCAGUUCUGUCCGAGAAAAUACUCAGAGUCCAACCAAAUGUGAGGAAGCUCUACUUACUAAUUAGAGCUACAGAUUCAGAUUCUGCUAAACAACGCUUUAACAACGAGGUACUACCAAAAUACGAGUACGUACUACUAUAUGAUUGUAUGCAGCAGCAUUAGACUACACGUUCGUAGUCAUCAUGCAUUACCACAGGAGAACCCAAGAUGAUACGAUGUUUUAACUGCAGGUUCUGAAAACAGAUCUGUUCAGAGUUCUAAGGGAGAAGUUGGGCGCCAACCUGCAGGGCUUUAUACAAGACAAGGUUUUCCCAGUUCCUGGAGAUAUAGCCUGUGAUAGUUUGGGGAUAAAUUCUGAGCUGAAAGAUGACAUGUGCAGAGAAAUUGACAUAAUUGUAAACACUGCUGCAACAACUAGAUUUGAUGAAAGGUAGAUAUAGAAUGAAAUUCUUUUUCCCAAAUUAGAACGAAAAAGUUUAUUCCACAUGUUUCUUCAGAUACGAUACUGCUAUAGGUAUCAAUGUAUUUGGUGCCAUGCAUGUUGUCGAAUUCUCCAAGCAGUGUUCAAAGCUAAAGAUGCUUCUCCAUGUAAGCACAGGUCAGCUCCAUCAUAUAUGUGCUUAACGUACCAAAUUUCAUGUGACAUCUUUGGCACAUAUAUUAACUUUAUUGUAAAUACUGGUUCUUUUCAGCCUAUGUUUGUGGGGAAAAGGCAGGACUGAUACUAGAGAAGCCAUUGAACUAUGGCGAGACACUUAAUGGAGGCUCUCGCUUAGACAUAGACGCAGAGAAAAAAUUGGCAGAGGAGACACUAAAGGGCCUUCAAGAUAGGAAUGCCACUGAAAAAGAAACAACUGUAGCUAUGAGAGUUCUAGGUAUUGAGAGGUACACGAUUCAUAAAAUCAAUCAGUUUUCACUGGUACAAAUAUGGUAUCCUAUUUGCACCACUAUAAUUAUGAUUCUUCAGGGCAAGGCUACAUGGAUGGCCAAACACAUACUCAUUCACAAAAGCAAUGGGAGAGAUGCUCCUGGGGCACCUCAAGGAGGAUCUCCAACUCAUAAUCCUAAGGCCAACAAUUAUAUUGAGCACUUAUAAGGAGCCAUUCCCAGGAUGGAUUGAAGGAUUCAAGUAAUAACUAUACUUGGUUUAUGCAUGCACACAUGGAAAUUGAAGAAUUGUAGGUCUUAUUAGUAAACUAAUAUAUAUAUGUUUCUUCGUUACCACAGAACUGUGGACGCCUUCAUUGUUAACUAUGGUAAAGGAAAGCUUAAUGUUGGAAUGUGUGACAGAGGAUCAAUAAUAGAUGUGGUAUGAGAACUAGUCAUGUGUAUAUAUAGUGUAUACCUUAUGUCAUAGUGGAAACGCACAAGUUUGCGUCAGCUGCUCUUAAUCAGUUCAUCUACCCACACUUCGAGUCCCUAAGUAUUUACACUAAUUCCUUAUUACCAUCUUGCAAUUUUGCCUAGAUUCCAGCUGAUAUGGUUGUGAACACAGUCAUUGCGGCUAUGGCUGUCCAUCAGAAUCCAUCUUCACAUACAGUUGUUUACCACAGUAGCUCCUCUAGGAGGAACCAACUACUAGUUGGUGAUAUCACACAGUUUUUCGUUGAUUACUUCAAGAAAUUCCCGUGGAUUGACGAAAGAGGAAAUCCAGUCAAAGUGAAGGAAUUUCGUUUCCUGAAUAGCAUGGCUAACCUUCACAAAUACAUAGCAAUCCGCUACAUGCCAUUAUUAAAGGUUAGUUUCAUACAAAUGCCUUCUUAAAUAAACUGUAACAUCGACGUAUUUUUGGCUUCAGUUUACCAUGAAGUGGGAUAUAUAAUACUAACGAGGACCAUAUUUAUAUUCGAAAAUAUGGACACAUGAAAUAUAAAUUUCAAAUUUUGUGACAUAGAACACUGCUAAGUUAGACUAAGACCCUUCUUGACUGAAAAUCAGUUUGGUAUAAACAAGAAUACUAAAAGAGGGAAAUUAAAGAUCCCGAUAUGCAAGGGAGAGGUGUAGAAAAAUAAUUUUAUGAACGCUGACAUGCACUUCAGCAUUGAUGUUUAGUUAUAACAUUUUUCAGAUAGUAAAGUGGGCAAACUUGAUACUUUGCCAACAUUUGCAAGCCCAUCACUCAAACUUAGAAAGAAGGAUCAAUCACUUCAUUCGACUAGCUGAACUCUACAAACCUUAUGUGUUCUUCAAAGGAGUGUGAGUUUAUUAUUUGACGUCCCUUACUUUCUAUCUCUUAAUUCUCUCUUCAUAUUGAUUUAGACACCUUGAUAUUUAAUUUGAACGAACAUCUGUCAAAUUGUUAAUGUUUGAUAUACUACUGGAAACUAAUUAAUCGAACUUAAAGCUGUUUUCAAUUGACGUUCUAACACCAUCCAUGCUGAUUUUUACCAGUUUCGAUGAUACCAAUACUGAAAUGUUGCGAAUGGCAAUAAGAGAAAGCAAUGCAGACGAUACACUUAAUUUUGAUCCAACAACCAUUCAGUGGGAAAAAUACUUCAAGGAAACUCAUAUUCCGGGAUUAGUGAAGUACAUUUUCUAAGAAAGCAGAAUUAUGUGAAUGAAUAAAAAGCUGUGUUGCUGGUUAAAAUUUUAUUAUGUUGUUUAAAAUCAGUUCAAGAUAAUAUUAGCAGUAUUAUAUGUAGACUGUAGUUAUAUUCUUCUGAUGCUAUUCGAGUAUUAUAUGUAAUAAUAUUGAAGGACAAGUUUUGUUGUUUCAAACUCUUCCAUAGAAGUGUUGAGAUGUUCCUCAGUGUUAUGAAUUUAACCAAGAUGGAGGUUCUAUUUGCAAAGAUGUCAAAUUACAUUUGGGACGCCGGGAAGAUGUCUAUAUAUAGUAGAGGAAUAUAAUCUAUUUGGGCUCACGUUAUGAAGUUGUCUUUUAUUUUCUUAGUUAAGAUUUUAGCAUUCUGGAAUUUCCCUUUUCUAUUUUUCUUUUGUUUCUAUGAUGAAUUCGUAUUUCAAUGUAUGUGAAUAUGGUUCUCCUUGUCAAUAUGAUUCCCCAUCGUUACACUCAGCUUCUUUCAUGUAAUUCUCAGCUUCUUCAACUUCCUUUUCUUGUUCCAAUUCCAUGGCUGCCCAUGCCUCGGUUAGCCUCCACUUCAAACAGCUUCAUCAGAUCAUCUUCUAUGGUGCAAGGAUCUAAGUUCUUGUCACAGAGUGCCUGCUCUGAAAGAAUGGCGAAUUGAGCAAAAAGCUCACUAAAUCUAUCCAGUUAUACAUUGAAUAAGCUGGUAUCAUACACCCACCGAGGUAAUAAUAGACUGUUGUAUGGGAUAAUAUACUCGUGUAUAUGUGAUGUAUGUAGUAGGUAUUUCAAAGCUGAUAGUUAAUCAAAUAUAUGUAUAUAUACGUAUGUCUCGUGUAGUGAUGUACGUAGCAAUCAAAAGCUAGCUAACUGAAUUUAUAUAUAUCUAAGUACUUUGAAUACUACGUUGAUAUCAUACUAUUGAAGAAAUAUAUUAGUGUUAAUGUAGAAAAGAGUAUACCGUGGAAUUUAUAAUAACGUAAGCUAAUUAACCGAUAGUUCAUUUGAUUGGUAUAUUGUAUUACGAGUAUAUAAUACCGUUUUUAAAAGCUAAUUAAUCAAAAAUUCAUCCUAAUUUAGAAAAUGCAUUGAUAUUAUUAUACGGUUGAAGAAAUAUGCUACUCGGAUUAAUGUAAUGAUAAAAUAACUAAUUAUCCGAUCAAUAUACAUUGCAUUAAGUUAUUUAAAUGUUAUUAUAAAUAUUUUUGUUGAUGAGUAGCAGUUAGACUUGAAUUUAGGGCCUCUACCUGAUCUAACACUAGAUGGUUUUUGUCUUGGGUCGGGGGUCUAUUGGAAACGACCUCUCUAGUGGUAUGGUCUCCGUACACUUACCCUGCCGAGAUCCCACUUUGCGGGAAUAUAUUGGGUGUGUUGUUGUUGUACCUGUUCUAAUACUAUGAUAAAGUGGGCGUACAACCUCAUCUAAAAGAUCAAUUAGAAAUGGCACACAUUCUUUUUAUCAUUAUCAAUUUAGGCUUGCAACGGGGGUCUAAGGAAAACUUUUGUUAAAAAUGCACAUAGGAUUCUUGAGAGUGUAUCCAUUUUGCCUUGAAUAUGAAACUGUGCUGGUUGUUGCUUGAAUUUUGUUUGAACUCCAGGGCUCCACCGGUAAGCUGAGUCCCAUGCAUCAAUCUACCUGAGGAUGUCAAUAUCAAGAAGUUCUUCCAUAAACAUCCAGAAUCUAAGCACGAGGAUGCUAUCAAGUAUGGCUUCCAACCUGUGCAUGCUUCUCAGUUGACAUUGUUUUAAUUCCAUAAUCAUCAGAUAGUAACAUGCUCUAAUUAUAAACUACCCUUGAGGUGUAUCCCAUGUAUGUACUUGGUAUUUUUAUGAUGUGAUGAAACACUAGAAAAACAUUUUCAUUUCUAGUUGUGGCAGGUAUCUGGAUUUUCUGAUAAGAAUUUGAGCAAUUUCUGUUGAUGUGAUCCAGAUGCCUUCACUGAGGAUUUAUUACAAGCAAAUAAAGGAGAACUCUGAAAGUACAUGAGAAUCCAAGAAUAACUUCAUGGCCAGAAAUAUACACAAAAUAUACACUAUCAGUGUAAUAUUUUAUGUCUAUUUCCCCUUCAAAUUGUAAACCAUUCAAUGAUUCAUCUUACAAGAGCGUGAACUAAUGUUGACGAGAGAUAAGGGGCACUAGCAUUCAUGCGAUUUCAAUUUUCUUUUUAGUAAACAAUAAAUUUAUGAUUUAAUUGGCCACAUCGAAUCAGCAUCAUUAUAAGUAAGACUACCCACAUGAUUGUCCCUGCAGAGGAUGGGGAUUGAUGGCUAUCCUUGACAAAAUGCAACACUUAUUGGCCCCACUUCAUCACCCUUCAAUAUAUUUUCAUUAUUCACAAAUUUACACUCUGUCAUUUUUGUUUCACACGGUGUUCAGUGCUAUUUCUAUGUGGAGAAAUUCUAUGUUGGAGAUAAAGCGCUCGUUGCAAAAAGAACUCAAUUUUCAAAGCUCGGGUCGAACUUAAAAUUUCUGAUUAAUAAUGAAAAAAAAUAUUACGACUAGUAAAAAUGUACAGUUGUAUAAAAUUGUUGGUGUGCUUUCAAGGGCCCUCAUCUACCAUUUCUUUACCAAAUUGGUGUUCCUGUUACUAUAUACUUUUCCAAUCAUCAAAGGAACAAAUUCCCUCAUCACUGAAAUCCUGAACACCCAUUUUUCUCCAUUACCAAAUUCACUGAAAAAAAGAAUGGAGGCUCUUUUUGCUGAAUUCGCCAUUCUUUCAGAGCAGGCACUCUGUAACAAGAACUUCGAUCCUUACACUAUAGAAGAUGAUCUGAUGAAGCUGUUUGAAGUGGAGGCUUACAAGGCAUGGGCAGCCAUGGAAUUGGAACAGGAAAAGGAAGUCGAAGAAGCUGAGAAUUACAUGAAAGAAGCUGAGGAACAUCUCAACACUGCUAUGGAAGAUGCCAUGGAAGAAUUCCGACGUUUCGAAGAGGAAAUGAAUGAGAUGGCUAAAUCUGAGUAUGAUAGUCUUGUUGGCGUUGCUGAAAGAGCUAGAAAUAUGGGAAAGACUAUGGAGAAAAUGGCUACUAUUGCUGCCAAAAAGUAUAUUGAAAGUGCUGUUAACUCUGCUGGUGCUUCUAUGAAAUCUGCUAUUAGAGCCAUUUCUUCUCAAUCUAAAAAGGUUCAUCCUUCUUAACACAUCUUUCACUAAUAUCUGUUUCUUCGAUUUGGACUACACUUGUUAAACUGUGUGUAAGAUUCAUGUUGUUACACCUCUGAAUUUUAGUGGAUUAUAAAUGCAUAAUAAUUAUCAGAUCUUUGGAACAAAUUUUCUUUUGUUGUUUUACUAAUUAGUUGGAGCGAUUUUACGCUUCCCCACUCUGCAAAAAAGAAGAAGAAACAUUGAUCAAAUGUAGGAUCAAUGGUGUUGUUAAGGGAUUGGUAUAAAAUAUUGUAUAGUGUAUAUUCUUCUGAUAAAGGCAGUAACAACAUAUAGGAAAAAAACGAAUCUCUGAGUUCAGUUUGCUGGUGGCUAGUUAUCAAUCUCAUAAGUGAAACAACAAAAGUAGUCCUUCAAUAUUAUUACAUAUAAUACUCGAAUAG